rnacentral:lncRNA from 1 species
AGGGCAAGUUUUGAAACCUUUCAAAACUAACUAGAUCAAAAUUCAAAUAAAUAAUUAAACAAUUAAUUAUGGUGAUAAUCUAAUUUUGANAUAAUAUUACUUGCAAAACAAUUCACUAAUUCAAUUCAAAUAAUCAAUUAUUAUCAUAUAAGGAAAUUAUUAUUCAACUAAUUGGUAAUUAUCUUUUGUUAGAUCAAGAACAUACUCAUAUAUUUGAUUAAAAUCAGAUUUUAAUGACCCAAAACAAUUAAGGCAAUUAUCCUCAAGUAAAACAACAAGAAAUCCCGAAACUACCUCAUUCUGACGCUCGAACUCGCCGAGUUCCUCUAUGGACUCGCCGAGUUGGAGCUACUCACCGAGUCCACAGUGGAACUCGCCGAGUUCAUCAGGAAAAAUCACAAAAAUCGAUUUUUUCAAGCAACAAGCAAUCAACUAAUGCAUCAAUUCAAUAGAAAUCAAUCAAAGAUCUGAUACCACUGAUGGGUUUGAGCCAUAAGACCUUAGCUAUGUGCACAUGCAAACCCUAAUUGCUUGGAUCUAGGUUUAUCUAAUUGAACAUGCAUUGUAUCCAAGACUUACAAUACUAGAUCUAGUGUAAACAAUUGAAUCUAAUCAUAUGAAUUUGGAUCUAGAACAAUACCUUGGAUUACUUGCUUGAUACUUUUUCUUCUUGGAACUUAGAGUCACAAUUGUCACUCCUCUAAUGGCUUACAAACACCAACUAGCAAGAGAAUGAUCUUCAGAGAGAGAGAGAGAGAGAGAGUGACAGAGAAAGGAGGGUGAGAAAUCGGCUCUAGGGUUCCUUGCCUUGCUUGAGUGCCGAUUUCCCUCACCCAAGGGAUCUAUUUAUACUAUGAGCUAUUAGGGUUUCACCUUUAACCCUAAUUGAAUAACUUAGGCCCUAAGCAAUCCAAGAUCCUCCUAGAUACUAGGCUUGGACAAUUUUAUGGUCUCCAAACCCUAAAAUCCAUCCACCUUUAUAUACAUAAGGAUACAUAGCUCAAAACACAACUAUCACACAUUUGACAGUUUAUGCCCCUUUAUUCAAUUAACCUUUUUAAGUCACCAAAUUAAUUCUCAAUUAAGAUAUGACUUAUAUUAAUCAAAUAACAUUAUUAUUCCUUUAAUAUAUUAUUAUCAUAAUAUAUUAACAAUAAUAUCUCUUCUCUCUUAACAAAUCAUCCUGUCAAGUUGCUAUAGUGAAGGCAACCCAAAAGGACCAUGCACAACCAGGUCAAGUACUUACCAAAUAUAGUUACAACCUUAGACACUAAUCCAACAGUUUGCAGUUUGUCAAUGCGCACGCUAUCAGGCUAAUCCUAAACUUUCACAUCUUAUUGCUGUCAAAAGAAUCUUUCGGUAUCUCAAAGGCAUCCCAAAUAUGGGUCUUUGGUAUCCGAAAAAUUCUGAAUUUGAUUUAUAUGCAUUUACUGACAGUAAUUAUGGAGGUUGUGAGUUUGACAGGAAAUCUACAUCAGGUGGAUGUCAAUUCCUUGGUGAUUGGUUGGUGUCUUGGCAAUGCAAGAAACAACACACCAUCUCAACCUCAACAGCAGAAACAUAAUAUGUUGCUGCCUCUGCUUGUUGCUCUCAAGUCAUAUGGAUCCAACAUCACCUGUUGGAUUACGGUUUGAACUAUUUAGAAACCCCUAUAUUUUUUGAUAAUGAGGUUGCAAUUCAGAUUUCUAAAAAUCCAGUCCAGCACUCGAAAACCAAGCACAUUGACGUUAAAAUUCAUUUCAUCAUAUAUUGUUAUGAGCGUUAGCUCAUUCGGCUGGAACAGGUUCCCACUGCUAAUAAUAUGACGAAUGUAUUCACAAAGCCGUUUAACAAAUCUUGAUUCGAUGUGCUUGUGAGUUUUUUUGAAAAUGAUAUGUUUUGUGGACUAAUUUUUGUUUUAGGUUAGUUUAAGUUUGGGUAUUUUAAUUUCCUACUCACCGAUGCACAAAUUUAGAGGGAGAAAUAAACAAGAUAAAAAAAACAAACAAAAAUUACAAAAUUAAAAAAUCCAAAAACAUUAUAAAAUCAAAAAAUUAAAAAUAUAUUGCUGAUAGUUUCUAUUUGUAGGUGAUGCGCUGAGAAGUGAUAUAAUCAUGUGAUAACAGACAAUCUGAAUCUGUGUAAGUUGCCAAAGUCGAAUUGUCUGAGCUCUGUGCUCGAUGCGUUGGUAGGCACGAAAGUUUUCAAAAUGGACUUGACUAGGAUCAGAUGAACUUAAGGAAUCUAGAGACCUGACAAAUCAAUGAUCUAGAUAGUUUCAUUUAGCUCGACAAUACGACGCCUAGGUAGGUUGAGCAGAGAGAUAUACAUGAGAAUCUGCGGAUACAUUAAACAAUCUGUAUUUAGAAAUGUGGAUUAACUUUUCCUCUGUGUGGAUUUUGUCCUUAAUUUCGGUAUUGACGGGGUAACUGGGGAAUUCCGAUAAAUUAGGUCUGUGGAAAAUUAUUUUCUUUCUUUAUAUCUGUUAGUCAUAUGUUGCUUCCUCUGCUGAUUGGAAGAGAUCUAACCUGGAUUGCAGCAUAUGCAACUCUGUCUCUAUGCAUCCUCUUCUAUGCUAUUCUUCCUACCUGUUAGUCAUAUACUGUCUCCUUUGUGUGAUUAACAAUCUGACCUGGUACACAGUAUAUGCAACCUUCUACUUCUCAAUCCCUCUAAACUCUAGUUAGUCAUAUGUUUCACUCUCUGCGUGAUUGGAAGAGAUCUGACCUGAGUGUACAACAUAUGCAUUCUAAAUCUGUCUUCCUUCUUAAUGAUUGUCUGCUCACCUGAAGUAAGGAGUAUUCUGGAAGUCCUUGAUUAUUGGAGUAUAACUGGAAGCGGGAAACACGUUCUAAUACAAUUAAAAUUGAACACUUUAUAGGUUGUUCGUAGAUCUCGCUGCUCAAUUUAAGUGGACAACAAUAUCCUUGGUCUUCAUCAGCUGAAUGGUCUUUUAGGAACAUUAUCUAAGUUCAUAAGAUCUAAGGUCUUGUCACAUAUAGUAUGUCCUCAAGUUUAUCAAAACUUUUCGUGUUUAAGUGGACCACAAUACCGGCGAUCGACCAAACAUGGACGUGAAAGCAGAAGUACCGAUAAGUGGACUAAGGUUGUCUAACAACUCUGAUCCCAAUAUCACAAAGUUAUUUUUAGUAUUAGUUGAGGUGAAAUUAGUUUUAAUUCAUUUUAAAAUCUCAAUUUCAUUUUUUAUUUUUAUUUUUAUUUUUAUUUUUAUAAAAAAAAAAUUUAAUUUUUUUAGUUUUUUUUUUUAAAUUAGUUUUAUUUUUAUUUUUAUUUUUAAUUUCCUAUUUUAUUUUAUUUUAUUUUAUUUUUCUCAAACUAUUUUACUUUUAAUAAGUUUUGGGGUAUUGGACUUCAUUUUAUACAUUGUGGAUUGCACUCCAUAGCACUUGGACUAGGUAUAUAAGAAAGAUCAUCAGCCGAAAACUACUCCACCCCUCAUUUUACCGUUCUCGGUUGCAAACUCUCGUCUUCUCUCUCUCUCUCUCUAAAAUUUAUUCGUAAAAUUUCAAGAAAUUGAUCCGUUAACUUUGAAGGUAUACUAAUUCCGAUCAUAGAUAUGUGAUUCUCGCAUCAAAUCGAAGGGCAUUGAGGGUUUAAUCGACGAAAAAUUAAACUCGAUGUUUACGGCCAACCAUUUACGGCCGGUUGUUUACGACCGGGCGUUUACGGUCGCAAACUCUAUCUUGACUAUAAACUUUGUUUUUGGUCAAACUGCUUCUAAUUUUGAAAUUUGUAAAAUAAGAAUAACAUUAAUUCUUAAUGAUCAAAUAAAUUGUUUUUUCUCACUUGGCCUGUUUUAGUGCAGAUUGUAAUCGCGGAACUCAAGUUUGCUGACAAUCACAAUCUGGCUAUCCUUUUGGCUGACCCUCCUGUUGCCCACGGAGAAUUCAAAUCAAUGAUACAUGGAUUGAGAGAAUGUUGUCUGUCUACUACAAUGACUGUUAAUCCAACUAUAUUUCAAGGCCUAAUAAAAGAAUUCUGGAAGACAACAGAUGUCAAGAAAGGAAGUGAUGGCUCUGUUUCUGUUGAAGCUACAUUCAAAGACUGCAAAAUUAUCAUCACAGAAAAGUUCAUCAGGGAUGUGCUCAAAAUUGACGAUCAAUCAACCUUCCCCUCUGAGAUUGAGAUUUAUCAAGUUGAAGAAUUUCUUAUUAAAAUAGGAUAUGAAGGUGUUUUCCCUCUAACUUUGAAGAAGCUGCUGCCACUUUUCUGGAGAUUUUUAGCUCAUGUCUUUGUGAGUUGUAUUUCCGGAAGAAAAUCUGUUGCAUAUGAAAUUUCUUUCAGAAAUACUGGUGCCAUCAUCUCUCUGGCUGCAGGACUGAACUACAAUUUCUCCAAAUUCAUCCUAAAUGAGUUGAUUGCAAAUAUCCAAGCAAAGACAAGGGACAAGUUCUUGUUGUACCCUUGAUUCAUUCAAAUUUUCAUUAAUGAACAAUUUCCUGGAAUGACCAACGAAGGUGAAACCCUCGAUAUGAAGCCACUUGGACCAAACACCGUUGGUUUAAUGAAGCAAAACAGAAAGGGAAAAUCACUUUUCAAGGAAAGUAUCCCUUGGUGAAGUUCGACUUGUUUGCCGAUUCAUGUGAGGCUUCUGAGUCUCAUGUAUCAUCUGAUCGCAUGACCUCUGAAGACGAUAUCAUUUCUGAAGAUGAUGUUAUUCCAGUUUCUGAUCACGAAGAUAAUGUAGAUACACAUGUUUCCAUUGUAGCUGAAGAGCAUAAUCUACAUUCGGUACAAGUUGAGAGUGAUAACAUCGAGGGAAAGACAGAGGAUGCGACAGAGAACGAAGAAGAUGAUGGUGAUUAUUUUUCUAAUUUAGAUCUUACUAGUUUUGACAAGGAUGUUAUUUCCUUGAAUUUUGGAGGCAAUGAAAAGCUUUUGUCAAAUGAAGACCACUAUACAUUCUUUGACAAUAUCUAUGAUGUUGCUCAUCCAGCAACGGAGACAAGGGAGACAGAAGAUGCUCUUGAAACAACACCUCCUUCUUCUAAUCAAAUGACUGACACUUCAACUCCUAUGGAGACAACCUCAGGGAUUCCUCCCCUUGAGGAUGUCAUUCCUACUGCUGAACCAACAGUAAGUGAUUCAUUAAUGAAUCAGAUCUCCUCACCUCCAUUAAAGAGGAGAAGAUGCGAUCCAAGACAGGGAGUUCUUGUUCCUGAUCUGUCUCAAGGCCUUCCGAAUCAACCAAUAACUAUUUCUUUUGCUGCUACUUCAUCUAUUCCAUCCAAUGAAGGUCCAAGUACUAUUUUUGAUGUUGGUGGUCCUUCAGCUCCCUAGAAUCAUCUCCUCCCAGGCCUUAUCAUGAAGUUGUCUCUUAGAUACUUGCUUUACAUCUGGCCCAAGAACAAAGCUCAGAGCCUUCCUCCCGAGCUAAAGGAAUUUCUAUUGAGGAAGGCCACUCUGGAGAAGAUUACCCACUAUUCUUGUACUUCAAAAGGAGAUCAGCGUGCUUAAUCAGAAGAAUAUUGAGCUUGAUAUCUGUUUGGCCAAUCUUGAAGCUGAAAAGGCCCAAAUUAAAAUAUGUGUUGCAGAUCUUGUAGCCGAUAAAACUCUAAAAAUCUCAACAAAUUUAUGAUCUGCAAACACACAUGGGAAUGCUGACUGCAUGUUAUUUUGAUCUAAAGAAGAAGAUGGCAGAGGAGUUUGGCAACAAAUUCAAAUCCAGUGCCAACCAAUCAUCUGCUCAAGAUCCCCCUGUUAACCCGCCCACUGAAAGAACAUCUUGGGUCGUUGAUCGAUUUGAGACCGAACCAGUUCAAGCACCAAAUGUAGUUUCUCUUAAAUGUGCAAAAAUUGAAGCAUUUGACAAGAAAAAGCAAGUACUGUUCAAGAAGAGCUAAGACCAAAAUGCUUCUGGAAAUCAGCCCUCAAUCACCGUCACUAACCUUGAAAGAAAGAAAUUUGGACAUGAGUACGGUGACCGAACAUGAAUUGUCUCAUGGGGCUUUCAUGACGGGCUAAACAUCUGGUUAGUGAGACGCUAAAGAAAAAAUGUGGAGUACUACAAAGACUUCCAUGAUUUCGGUUCCUGGACUAGGGUUGAUCUUUCAGAACUAGCAAGUACUCCAUUCGUGAAUCCUUCUAGAGAUCUAAAGGAAACUCAUUUCAAACUGUUAUUGGAGGACCAAGUAAAGAAGGGAUUUUCUGGAAUGAAGACUGCUUAUUCUUUUUUUAAAAUAUUCCCUAAAGUACUGGUUCCCAAGACAAAAAAGCCUUUUCAGACUGUUAAGUAGCCACCAACCAAUCAAGUCAAACAAAUUUCGGUGCUGCAAAACUUCAGUGAUGGAUCUCUUGCUAAAAUGCUUUACAGAGUGUAUGAUGAAACAACUGCGACUGCUAUCAUAAAAUUCAAAUAUAGUUGCUUUCACCUAUAUGACAAAAGAGACCUACUUCAAUUUGAAAAUGAGAUAUUCAUCAAUUGUCUCUACAUCAGAUCAAGGUGGCUGAAGAGAUUUUUGAGUCUGCUGCGAAGGAGUUAACAUCAAUGGUCGCCGAGAUUAUUGCAAAAGAGAUGUGGCAAGGGGCAAUGGGGGGUCCGACGUGCUUAUAAUUGAAAAAGACUGAGUGUCGGCUAGCCCCAAACCAAGGGGGAGAUUUAAGGGUCCAUUUAAUGGUUUGGGCUAGGCUAUUUAAUGUAUAGUUCUUUUGAUUCUUUUGGAUGUAAUUGAUGUGUUUUUGGUGAGUUUACGGCCAUAGAUAGUUUAUGGCCGUAAACCUGUUUACGGCCAUGACUUUUCCCCUAUAUAUAAUGAGUCUCUGAGUCUGUUAGUUGUUUUUGAUGGUUCACUAUUGUUUACGGUCUUUAGUGUCUGUCCGAGUUGUACUAGAUGUUUUUUCUGAUAUAAAUGUGUGCAAGAUUUGGUUUAAUAGUCUUCCUCUCAAUUCUUAUCUUGUUUGAUUGUUAGAUUGCUUGAUCACUGGUUAAGAUCCUUGUUUCUAGCACCCGACAAAAUCAUAAUCUCCCGUCACGUCACCUUUGAUGAGACUAUUUUUCCUUUCAGUUCUGUCACCCUGACAUACCUCCAUCCUAUGAAUUUCUUGACACAAAUACUUCUCCUAUGGCUCAUAAAUUUCAUAUAACGGGAACACCCAACUUCAAUACAUAAUCACACGUUCCCGCUGCCCCAUCGUCAAAAACUAUCGAGCAUGUCUUGUCUCUGACAUCUUCCUCUUUGAUGUCCCCCUCUUUUGCUGAUGAAGUUUCUCAACUGGGUAUCCAUCCCUCCUCGACUGCCCCAGAACCUAUUGUUGAUCACAGUACUUUCGACUCUUCUCCUAUCAAUCAUGGACCCACUAUUCCCCAUGGAUUUCCUACUCUAAUACCCUUGGUAACUACUGCCACCUCUCAACAUCCUAUGAGAACCCACACCAAACUGUAUAUCUUAAAGCCCAUCCAUCUUCUCAAACUCUUCACAAAAUAUCAAUUAGAGUCCAAAAUUCCUCACUCCUAUUCCCAAGAAAUUAAGGAUCCAAAUUGGCUUACUGCAAUAAGUGAAGAAUAUAAUGCUCUUAUUGCUAAUGGUACGUGGAAAAAAUUACCCCACCCCGUAAAUGUUAAUAUUGCUAAUUUUAUCUGGUUCUUUAAGAAGAAGCAUAAUGUCGGUGACACCCUAGCUCCCUAUAAGGGUCGUUUGGUGGCCAACGGGAAAAGCCAACAAUCUUGCAUCGAUUGUGACGAAACUUUUAGCCCGAUUGUUAAGCCGACCAACAUACACACGUUUUGAGCUUAGUUAUUUCUCAUCACUGGCCGAUUCAUCAGCUUGAUGUCAAAAAUGCUUUUCUCCAUGGGCAUCUUAAGGAGACAGUAUACAUGUAUAAACCAACAUGGUUCAAGGACCGAGCUCAUCUAGACAACAUUUUUCAUCUUCAACACUGUCUUAAUGGAUUGAAGCAAGCUCUCAGAGCUUGGUACCAUCAGUUUGCUUAGUUUGCUACUCGACUUGGCUUCUUCAACAAACGUUGCGACUCAUCUCUAUUUAUUUAACGCAAAGGCAAAGAUAUUGCAUUUCUGCUCCUAUAUGUUGACGAAAUCGUUCUUACGACAUCAUCUACGACCCAUUUACAAAAAAUAUUUUUUCUCAUAUCUUUGGGCCCCUCGGUGAUUUGGUGUUGACAUUAUAGUGAUGGGCCCAACCAGGACUGAAGUGAUGUGUUUAAUUAGUAGUCUAAUGAGGUCAUCACAAAUCAAGAAAUCGGGAAACAAAAUUUUAGACUUGAGAUUGAAUGUAAUCAAUGUCUCAUUUACAUAUGAUAUCUUGAAGAACAGAGGAAUAUUUGAAUACUUAUCUUAGGGCCAAUGUCUAAUCAGAUCAAAGUCUGGCAAUUGCUUUGGAAAGCAUGCUUUGUUGUUUGAUUUAGAAGAUAUACUUGCAAUUAUAGUUAUAGACUUAUCCAAGUGGGAGACUGUUGGAUUAGGUGUCUAAGCCAAUAACUAAAUUGGUAUAUACGUGAAUUAAAAGCAAAGUCCUUUUGGGUUGCCGUCAAAACUAAUAAAUUUUGGAGAGAGAGGUUGAUCUAUUGAGUUAAAAUAUGAUUAAUAAAUAGCAAUAAAUAAUUUCUUAAUAUAUUAUGAGAUUAAUAUAAUAAUUAGAAAUAGUAUUCUUUUAUUAAUAAUUAAUUAGGAGUUAAUUUUAGGGUUGAUUGUAUUAAUUAAAAGUGUAGGGGCUUAAGCUGUAUUUGUUUAAUAGUUAAACAAGAGAGGUUCCACAAGGUCAUUUUUGUGCUCUUAUCACCUCAUUGCUCAGAUAAGGAAACCCUAGCCGUGAUUUACUACUUCCUCGUGUGUGUCAGCUUAGAAGGUCAUUUUUGUGCUCUUUUGGAUGGGUUUUGAAGUUUGAAGAUGUUGGAGUAAAGGGAGAAGCAAUAGAUCCGACAUCUAGUUGGUUUUGGUAACCAUUUGGAGGUAAAAAGUCUUUACCUUGACCUCUUAUUUCUUAGAUCUUCCCUUAUGCAAGAAUAUGGUCAUUUCUAGUGCAAAAUGGAGUCACUCUCGGGUUUGAGCUUGUCAUGAGGACACACUUUCAGAUCUGGACUCCUCUAGGCCCCCAUGGACAUAGAGUUAUCGACUUUAUCCAGUCUUGCCCCUUCUUCGUGCCCUAAACCUCUUCUUAAGCUUAUUUUUGGGUGUUUUAGCCUCUUGAGGCCUUGCAUGCACGUAAAGUUUGCAACUUUACGUGGUAACUACAACCUAAGGGGAUAAAUCUACAGUUUGGAGCCUUGGUUUCGCUUAAAAGCGUCUAAAUAAGAAAAGGGCUAAAGGAACUCGACGAGUUUCUUAGCCAACUCAACGAGUUGGAUAAGGGUUUUCCCACUCUCUGCAUUCUAAGUGAACUCGGCGAGUUGGUGAGAUAACCCGACGAGUCGGUUAAAGUUUUCCCGAUCUUCUGGAUACUACAUGGACUCGACGAGUUGUUUAGCAACUCAGCUAGUUGACUUGAGUUUUCAUGAUUUUUGAGUUCUGAAGGAACUCGACGAGUCAGUAAGUUGCACUUGACGAGUUGGGUCAACAUGGACUGUUGAUCUUGACCGUCGACUUUCAGUUUAACUAAGGGUCGACCAAUUUUGACUUCUGAGGGUAUUUUGGUAAUUUGGGAUUUUGAGGGAAUUAGUCAUAUGGUGGUUACUGGCGGUUGAGUUCGGAGUUGUGAUUGGGCGUUAGAUAUUGUCACUAUAGCACUUCUUGUGAGGUAAGUUCUCCUCGCUAUACUCAAGGGUCUAAGACACCAAGGUCGACCCUUUCGGUUGUUAUCCUGGUUAUCUUAUGGUUGUGUGCUCUCAUGAUCUGUUAGAUCGGUAUCCUAGUAGAUAGGAUGAUGGAAUGCUUAGUGAUCUGCUAGAUCUGCUUGACUGUCUGUAGACUAUUAUGUGCUUACCUGAUAUAUGUGCACAUGUUUGGUUGGUAGUUGAGGGUAUUCCAUCCUUAGGAUGAUUGGACCCCUAAUAUGUUCACUUUGUAGACUGUUAUGUGAUUAUAUGAUGUAUGUGCACAUGUUUGAUUGUUAGCCGAGUGUAUUCCAUCCCGAGGAUGAUUGGACUUAUAGUAUGUAGGCAUUCGAACCCGAAGGUUGUGGGUCAAGAGUAUUCCAUCCCGAGGAUGAUUGGACUCAUAGUAUUUUGCAUUCCAAGCUGAUUGUUGAGGGUCGCGGGUAUUCCAACCCGAUGAUUGAUUGGACCCAUAGUAUGUUGGCAUUCCAACCCGACGGUUGAGGGUCUGGGUGUGACAACCGUCAAAAUUCGACUCGGUUCUAGAUUUGAAUAAACUUAGUUGCACGUAUAGGCACGACACAUACUAGACUUAGUAACUAGAAACUUGGAAACAAUUAGAAACAAUGGAUAAUGUGCUUAGAUUUCACAUUGAUAUGUGAAUUCUACAUCUACUGAGCUGUAGUGACUAUCCAUAUUUGGGUCACUCUUUGACUCGAACAACAUCUCAUGAUCAUAUACACACAUCAUGCACUUGACCUAGAAGUAGAAGUUAGUUCAAAGUCUCAUAGAAACCUAAUUCAAAGUUGAAGAGUAGGGCUAGUAUACUUGAUUCCUCAAUUUCGCUUAAAUCUCGGAAUCACUACAUAGAGUGCCAAUAAACCGAUAAACAUAAAUUACAAACAUUAUUUAUAACUAUAAAAGAGUUAUAAUACCAUAAAAUAAUUUGAAUUCUCAAAGAUUCAAUUCAUUUUGAUAUCCAAAGAUUUAUUAAACUCCAAAAACCCUAAAAGCCAUAAAAACUCAUAGUUAUAAACUUUAACCUUAAAGUUUUUAUAAAAAUAAUUAUGAACCUUAUAAAAUUAUCUUAUAAUAAUAAAAAUUAUGAAAAUCCAUUCAAUAAAAAUAAAAAAAUAAAAAAAUUUAUGUCAUUGACAUUACCCUUAAUUUAUAAGACAAAAUACAACUGAACCUUAUAAAAACUAAAGAUGAUUUUUAUAAAAACUAAAGAUGAUUUUUAUAAAAAUGUUUAGGAUGCCAUAUUUAUUCAAAUUAAAGAUUUAAAAGCAUAUUAAAACCCUCUCUAAUCCCUCUUAAAUUCGGACUCCACCUCCCAAGAAAUCUCUUCCCGACAAACAUUAAUCAUUCAUCACCCACACACUCCAUCUCCUUCACUUGUCUCUCUCUGAUUUCUCUCUCACACUCUCACACACAUUUUUUCUCCUCCUCUAUCUAUGAACCAUGAAAUUUACAGAAGAUAGGACCCAAAAACACUCCUUAAACUCGAAAUGUUCAUCCUCUAGGAGUGUUCUUAAAGGUAAACCCGAAAAUCCUUCAUUUUCCUUCACUUUUCUUUCUUGUUUAAAAGGUUUUUUUUGCACUUCUCAUUCUUCUACACCCUUCUUUAUGAACAAUCAUGAACACUUGCUCAAACUCACGGUUUUGAUGAUGAUGGUGGUAGGAUUUCACCCGAAAACAACAUGCGUGUUGUAAAUGGUGAAAUCCAAAGAUCAAACCUAAGUCAAAAUCAACAUAAUGCACUUUUCUACAAGUUUUGUGCGAAAAACACCACAUGCAUCCAAUGUUUUCCAUAAAAAAAUGAUUUUUGAACAUUUCAAACUCAUGAAUGGUCUUCAAACAAACAUGCAUGUGAUUAUCUUCAAGCUUAGAAGCUAGAUCAUCAAAGUAUGUUGUUAAAAGCUUUCAAAUAUGUUCAUGAAGGAUUUAUUUCCAAAUAAAUAUCUAAAACUCGUUUUCUGACCAAAUCCGAUUUUUCCCAGAUUCCUACCAACAAAAUGAGAUGUUCUACAAAUUUUCAGAAAAUAAUUCGUUUUGCUAGAAUUAUUAUAAUUGUUUCAAUAAUAUAUGUCAAUAAAUCAUAUAAAAUACUUAUGAGGUCUAUAAAUCCUAGGUAAAUUCUUGGAUGACUCCUAUGCUAAACAAAAACAUUUCAUUAAGUUUCAUCUAUUUUUGUUACUGUUUAGAGUGGUUUUCAAUUUUCUUUUUGUUUAGCCCCAAUAAAUCAUAAAAACGCUCUAGAUAAUAUUAAAAGGGUAUAUAAUAAUUUUCGCAGCUUAUAAUCUAUGUGUAAUACUUAGAAAAAUAUUUUCAGAAUUUUUCAUAAUUUAUUCCUACUUUUCUCCGAUUUUUGUAUUUAUAAUGGACUAAAAACAGGAAAAAUACUUUUACUCAUCCAAAAAUUAUAAAAAUUUACCAGAACACCUUGUAGUAUAUUAUGAAGCUACAUAAACAUUUUGAUGAUUUUUCUCUUCUGUAUACUAUUUUGCUCUUAUUUUCUAAGAUUAAAAACACUUAAAUACACAAAAUCGGAUUCCAGUAGAUAAAAACCACCUUUGGGAUUUUUCCCAGAUGACUUACACUGUAAAUGAACUUUACAAAAAAUUUUGGUAAUUUACUUUAACUGUUUAAUAAUUAUUCUCCAAUUAAUGAUUAUUUAAAAGGAUAAAACAAAGAAAAAUAUAAAGACUAAAUGAAAAAUAUCUUUUAUAUUUUUCAAAGCUUCUACAUGUAUAAUAAAAGUGUUACAAAAAUUUUGGGCAAUUUUAGAAACUGUUUCCUAUUUAUUUCAGUUUUUAUUAGAAUAAAUGCUCAAAAAUCAUAAAACUUUGUUAAACAGUUUAGAAAUCAAGUUAUAUAUUUUUUCUAGCUUAAUAAUGUUUAAUAACAGCAAUAAAAAAAUUUUGGAUAAUUUUGGAAACCGAUUUCUAUUUUUCAUGAAUUUGUAUCUAUUUAGAGAAUUAAAUAUAUGAAAAAUGGUUAUACAUAUCCAUAAUCCAUGAAAAGUUAUCUAGAAGUCUUUCAAAACAUUUAGAACCAAAAUCUGAAUUUUGGUAAUUUUUAUUAACUGUUAAUAUUUUGUUAUGAUUUUAUGGUUAUUCAAGAAACUAAAAUGGUGAAAAAUAGUCCGACAAAUAAAAAAUCCAAGAAAAUUUAUCUUGAGGUCCUUGACUUCAAUUAAAACUGAAAUGAAAAUGUUGGGAAAUUUUAGAACUAAAUUGAUUUAGUUUUUGAAUAUUUAAUCAUUAGAACACCUCUUAAAAUGUUAAAUAUUAGCAUUUCAAUAAUGAGAAUUUUCCACUUAAAUUUUUAUAUAACAAUUGAUUCUUUGAAAUUAAAUUUUCACAGAAAAAUGUUUGUAACUUAUCAAUAUUAAAUUUUCACACAUUAUUGGCAUAAUUUUAUUGUAGUAGUAAGUAUACUAGUGUUAGAUUUCGAAUAGAGACUCACUAGCGAAUACCAUUAUCGUAGGAAUCGAUUGUGUUACGAGUGGAACUUAGCUCAAGGCAUCAUUUGCAUCAUCUCAAUGCAUAUUAUGAGUAUUCACCACUACCCUAUUUUCGGUUUUUAUGUUUUGGGGGUGGAAAAGCAUGUCCUAAAAUAUUUAUGUUCGUUGUAUUUAAUUUGACUUGUAUCAAACUUGGCUGCUAUAUGUUGCUAUGUAUGUGUAUGUUAUUGUUAAUUCAUGAGGACUGUAUCGCGGUUAAGUCCCUGGAAUCUCUAGACACAACUCAUUAACUCUUUUGAGCCUAUGGUUAUUAUGGAUAGCGCUAUCAGGAGGUAGACAACUCCUCACUCGCACGAUUCACUUGAGUGCAUUUUACCAUUUUAUACACUAUGUUUGCGAUACACAUAUUAGUCAAUAGGGCACGAUUCGGUCAUUAGGCUUGGGUUGUGAACUCAUGAAUGGAAACUUGAUGCACAUACGAAUCUUUAUGCGCAUACGAAACUUGUAUUCUCAUGUUAGCAACAACACUUGUAUACUUAUUUUUAGCAAUGAAGCUUGUAUACUUAUUUUAGCAACAAACUUGGGUGCUUCUUAUAGUAACAAACUUGUUUGCUCCUUGUAGCAAUGAAACGAAACUUUUAUGCUUAUUAUAGCAAGGAACUUUGUUUCUCAUUAUAGCAACGAAAUUUUAUUACUAAAAACUUAUAUACUUGUUUUAGCAAUGAAAUUGUUUGCUCCUUGUAACAACGAAUAUUAUUUUGAUUCUGGAAAACUCAUUUUAGCAAUAUACUUUUAUUUAUGGAAACUUUUAUCAAAACUUUUAAUUUGAUUCUUGAAACCAAUAUUAUUUUUAAUCUGUGAGUACUCACCAACUAUUUUUAUAGUUGACGCUCGUUUUACAUGCUUUUUCAGGAAUCAUCGAGGAAGUGGCACUUAGGGACACUUCACUUUUAGGAGCAUUCGCAUGUGUUGUAUUUCAAUUUACAUUGUAAUUUCUUUUAAAACUUGUUCAAACCCGUUGUAAAUUUGUAAUGAUUUUUAAUACUAUGUUUGGUGUUGUCUUAAAACUUUUGCUAUGAAACCCUUUGUACUGCCACGCCUCGUGUUUCCGCUUUAGCGGGGUGUGACACUGGGGUAUUCUAACCCAAAUGUUGAUUGGACCUAUAGUAUGUUAGCAUUCCAACCCGAUGGUUGAGGGCCUGGGGUAUUCCAGCCCAAUGAUUAAUUGGACCCAUAGUAUGUUGUUUGUUAUUAUAUGUGUAUUGUUGUGUGUGGGUAUUUGGAGGUAACUCACUAAGCUUUCAAGCAUAAAUUUAUGGAUUAUUGUUUCAGGAACUUCAAAAGAUCGCGGGAAGAUGAAGGCGUUACCGAACACUUCCUCACAUGUUACGAUUUGGAUUUCUGGGAUACUCUGAUGUUUAAACUAUUUUGAAAACAAUUUUGUAUUACAUACCGGUUUUUAGAUGUUUGAAAAAGCUGAAAUUUUUGUGAAUUUUUAUGGAUGUUACAUGUUGGUAUCAGAGCCUUGGUUUGCGUGAAUUAGAGGAACACUCGUGUGAAUCCAGUCUCAAACUGAGGAAAAGUUUUCAAAAAUAAUUUUCAAAAAGUUUUCAACAUCCUAAGGAGGAUGCGAUGUGUACGAUCAGCCGGAUCCAGUAAGUAGACCCAAAAAUACCAUACGAAUAUCUGAUAUUGUGAUAUGUUAGAAUAGCAUGCUAGUGAUAGGCUAGGGAUCUUUAGGAAUUACAUGAUAGAAUUUCCUUAUGAUAUGAUGUCUAAUAGCCUAGGGAUUUCCUUAUAUGAAAUUGACAUCAUUACUAUAGUUUCUUAGUGUAUGCAUCAUAGUUGUACAAAAUUAAGAUCUUAUAGCCUGAGAAUGUUUGGUAUGGCGUUAUUUCGUGUUCAUGUUUAAUGAAGGGAGUAGGUUAGGAUCAGAUAUUCGAAUGUCUAUAGGGUCCAACAUUAUGUAUGACUAGCAUACACGAGUGCUGUUGGGUUGGUGAUAGUUUCAUGGAUGAGUUUUGCAGGGCGUUCGGCCAGUUGUGAGAUAUUUUGCCUUUCCUAUAGGGAGUGAGGAUAGAGUGCAUGGUCAUGGGUAUUAUUAGGGCGUUGUGAUGGUACUUGAGAAAAAUAUGGGUAGGUGUGGAAGGUAAUGUGGGCCCAUACUACUGAAAGCAUAGGACCCAUAUGUGUAGCAAGGAAGUUGCAAACCCCUAGGGAUUUGUUGGUAGUUUGUUUCCCGUUAUUACACGAAAUGUCUGAUAUCUUCCUGGUAUAUUUAAAGUAUGGUGACUACAAGGCGAUUUGAGACCGGAUCUAGGUCAAAUCGGGAGCUGGCAGCCAGGAUAGGCCAACAACGACAGAUGAUCGCGUCAAGGGGAUCAUUCAUGAGGAGGUGGUUGAAAUUGUCUGAGGUCAGAUUCCGGAGAUGUUUGGGUCUAUCUAGACCGCAAUGAUGGAGUAUUUUGAUGACAGGUACGCAACCAUUGCUAAGACUGUUGUUGUGGGUGUUGGGCCAGUGCGGGUAUUUAAGUAUUAGGAAUCCGAUAACACAAAGCCCGCAACUUUCGAGGGAGUUCAGGAUCCGAUUGUAGCCAUUGGGUGGCUGUCUGAUGUGGAGGGAUGUUUCUUCACUUGUUCAUGACCUGCUGUCCAGAAGGUUAGGUGUGCUCUGAACCUGCUAAGGUCCGGAGCGAAGGAUUGGUGGAGGUUGAUUAUGGGAUCAUACUCUGAUGAGCAGAGAGCUGCUGUGUCAUGAGAUCAUUUCAUGGAGAUGUUCCGCACUCGCUACAUUCCGUGGGUUGAUCGGGAGAGGUUGGCUUAGGAGUUCUUGGAGUUGAGACAGAGUAUAGAGUUGGUGAUCGAGAUCAAUCAGAUGUUUACUGAGAGGGUGAUGUUAUGCCCUGAGUUUGCUUCUGAGUAGGCUUAGGUGACUCUUUAUCUGAGCAUGCUUAAGACGCACAUCAGACAGUUCGUGUCUAGUCAGAGAUGUAAUACAUUGUUGGAGUUGUAGGAUGCCACUAGGUAGCGUUAGUUGGAGUUUGACCUUUAGUUGAGGGGGCAGAGACAGGCCCCAACAUAGUCACAUCAUGCACCAAAACGGUUUGGGCUGCUGACGCCAGGCAGGGGACCUCAGAGGGGUCGCAUUUGUGAGAAGUGCGAAAAGGUGCAUGAUGGGGUUUGUCGAUCUUAUUCAGCAUGCCACAAGUGUGGCAAGGAGGGUCACAUCACGAAGGAUUGUAGGUAGCAGACUCCAACUUCUGGUGUCAGACUUUUUUUACCAUUAUGAGCAGGUGGGCUAUAUGAAGGUCCAGUGUCCCCUACUAGCUGCCAGGCCGGCUCAAGCACCAUCGCCGACUACCUUGAGGAUCGCAGAUGGGAGUCAGGAUAGGGCGGGGCCCUGAGGGCUCAUGGACAUGCCUUUCUGCUCACUGCUGAGGAGGUCAGGAUUGCACCUGAUGUGGCGACUAGUAUGUUUUUGUCUCUUAUUUUAUUGUUUAAUGAUUGUAUUGUGAACUUUCAUUUUCCUUCUGCAUGAGAUGCUAGGACAUAAGAGGUUCAGUGGAAUUUAUUAUCAAGGGAUUGUAAAUGGUUAGGAUCCAGAGAUGCAUUUGAGGAUGAAAAGUUAGGGUAGAGAAUCUCCAUUCUAGGGUAAGUAGUUGUAAUUUGGAAAUUCAUAUGUAUUCAGAUGGGAUUCAGAUUUCUCUUGAAUUUCGAUUGCUCUGUUUCGGGAGGAUUGUUCUACGUAGGUUAUUCAUUCCAGGGUUAAGAAUGGUAAUACCUGGUUGGGAUGUUUAAGCCGUGUAUUGAUUUCGCCAUCAGUGGGCAAUGGUUAGUGUCCUAAGUGGGGGAGAAUUAAGAAUUCUCAGAUGCAGCGUCAACCAUUAAAGGUUUUGUCUAUUGUUGUUCGGAUAAUGGUUUCUAGAGUGGUUGGCGAUCAAACAUCAGAUAAAGGGUUUCACCAAGUACAUGUAUGGAGGUGAUUUUUUGAGUGUAUUUAUAGGUGUUCAAGGUAGCAUUAUGGUUUGGUUCGACUUAUGUGUAUGGUUAGGUCAGGAUUAUAAUCUACGAAUUGGAUCAAGAGUUCGAACCCCAAGUGGGGGAGAGUUGGCUAUUUAUGGAAAAGACACCAGGAUAGGUUCAAGGUUUUGCUCAACAGAUCUAGGGCUUCCUGAUAGACUGAAGGCCUAACAGGGCAUACCAAUCAGGCCAAAGGCUUGGAGAACGGUCCAGACAGGACGAAGGCCCGGAGAGGCGGUCCAGGCAUGUUGAAGGUUCUGAGAGUGGUCUAGAUAGGCUGAAGGCCCAGUGGGGCGGUCCAUUCAUGCUAAGGACUCUAGAUGUAUUUUCUUAGAUCUAUGUUCGAGUAUUGAGUGUGUUGCUACACUGUAGCAAUCGGUAGGUCUGUCUUCUGGUAAGGAGCAUGUUAGUCUGUGAUAAUAACAUGUGGAACUUUAGGUUAUUUAGGCUUGCUGGUUAUCACCUUAGGAACGGUCGGUGGUCAUGAAGGAGAGCCUGAAAACUCUUGGGUAGCAGCUCGUUCUGUAAGUGAAUCAUGUAUGGUAUGGUUUCGUCAUUGUGGUGCAUGGUAUGUAGGUUCGGGAGCUAAAGUACGCAUUAUCCUGUCAGCAUAAAAAGGGUUCAUCUCCAUGUUUACCUCCCAUUAUUCGUGUUAUCUCUAAAAAUUUGAUCUUUAAAUGAGCUUUCCUUGAAAGAAUAUAUAAUCUCUUUUCCAGCAAGAAUUAUAGGUGGCAGCGUAUGAUGUAUGAUUCUAUUUCUGGCGGGAACUUCAGGUUUUCAGGGUGUGAUCCGCUUCAUGAAGAAGGCAAGAUGGUUCCCGAUAUAUUGGGCCAUUUCAGGUUAUUACCAAGGUUGACAAAGCGGCGUAUCGACUGGAUCUUUCGGAGGAGCUCAGUUAGAUUCAUAGUAGUUUCCUUAUUUCACAGUUGUGAAAGUGUGUGUUGUACGGAGAUGUUGUGGCAUCAUUGGGUGAUAUUUAGGUCAAUGAGCGCCUGAAUUAUGUCGAGAGGCCGAUGACCGUCUUGGAAAUAAAGGUAAAGGUUCUGCGUGGCAAGGAGAUAGCUUUAGUAAAGGUACAGUGGCAGCAUCGGAAGGGAUCCGAGUAGAAUUAGGAGCCAGAGGAUAAGAUGCAAGAUCAUUAUUCAGAUUCGUUCACUGCAGCAGGCUUCGAGGAUGAAGCCUAGUUCAAUUGGGGGAGAGUUGUAACAUCCUGAUUUCCAGGAAUGAUAUUUUAGGGAGUUUAUGUAAUUAAGAAAUCCUACUCGACGAGUUGUAGGCCCCAACUCGUUGUGUACAAACUAAUUAGGCCGCGUAGAUUAUGAAGCCUACUCGACGAGUUGGAGGACCCAACUCAACGAGUUGAAAGUUGGAUGUGAAAACCCUAAUGUUUAGGGUUUGAACCCUAUUUAAAGGACUUAACCCGCAUUCUUUGGGCUCCCUUAUCAUCUCAUUUCCAAGAGAAGGAAACUCUAGCCGUGCUUUACAACUUCCUUGUGUAUGUGAGCUUAGAAGGUCAUUUUUGUGCUCUUUUGAAAGGGUGUUGAAGUUUGAAGAGGUUCGAGUAAAGGGAUAAGUACUAGAUCUGAAAUCUACUUGGUUUUGGCAUCCAUUUACAGGUAAAAAGUCUUUACCUUGACCUCUUAUUUCUUGGAUCAUCCCUUAUGCAAGAGUAUGGUCAAUCCUAGUGCAAAAUGGAGUCACUCUCGAGUUUGAGCUUGUCAUGAGGACAUGGUUUCAGAUCUGGACUCCUCUAGACCCCAUGGACAUAAAGUUAUCGACUUUAUCUAGUCUUGGCCCUUUUCUAUUCCCUAAACCUCUUCUCAAGCUUAGUUUGGAGCCUUGCAUACAUGUAAAGUUGGCAACUUGACAUGGUAACUACACCCUAAGGGGUUAGAUCUAUAGUUUGGAGCCUUGGUUUCUCUUAAAAGUGUCUGAAUGAGAAAAGGGCUUAAGGAACUCGACGAGUUGGCUAAGGGUUUUCCCGCUUUUUGGAUUCUGAGUGAUUCGGAGAGUUGGUGAGAUAAAUCAUUGUAACAUCCUGGAAAUUCAGAAAUAUAGGUGAAGGGCUAAAAAGUGUAAAUAAGAAGGUCGACUCGGCGAGUCGAGUCGCGUUCGGGACACGUGUUAAGUAACCAACUCGUCGAGUCGCAUGGGUGGAAUCAGCGAGUUGGUGCUGUAUGGAGAAAACCCUAAUUUUCGGGGGUUGUGCCCUAUAUAAAGAACAUAACAUCCUUUCUUUAGCCUCCUUACCACCCUUGAGAGCUUACAAACCCUAGAAAUCGAGUGGAACUCCAUUGAUAGUGAAAUUGGAGCUUUGGGAAAGGAAACCUUGAAAAGGGAACUUGAAGGAUAAGGGAUUUAAGCAAGGGAGUGGUACAGAUCCGAAGUCUACUUCAGUGAGAGCUUGCAUUUGAGGUAAUAAGCUGUUCUUGAGCUUUUGUGCAUCUAGAUCUAUCAAUUGUGGGGUUUUGGGGGAAUAAAUGAGGACCAUCUCGAGUUUGGUGUAAGAUCUGAGGUUGCUACCUCAGAUCUAGGUUGUUAAUGACCCAAAAAGCCUUAAAGUCUAUGCCCAAGAGUUGUUGGUAAGGUUCUUUUGUCCCAAACCUUAGCUCAAGAGUGUUUUUGGCUUAGAUCUCUUUGGAUUCACGUAAAGUUUGCUACUUUACGUUGUGGGUGGGUUGUAGAAGGGUAGAUCUAUGGAUUGGAGCCCCUGCAUGGCUUAGAAAGCCACUGUUUGGGUUAAGAACUAGAGGUACUCGGCGAGUCAUAUGGGUAUACUCGGCGAGUAGGAUGAAGAUAGGCAGGGACUCGACAAGUUGGAAGAACAACUCGACGAGUAUGUUGAAUGUUGUCUUGGACUCGGCGAGUCUGUUCUUGGACUCGACGAGUCGGGUCAUGAAGUCCUAAUCUUCUCUGGUUAAGCUGUGAAUCGGUGAGUCAAGGGAUGACUCAGUGGGUUGAGUACGGUUCGAAUCAGAUUUGUGGGACUCGGCGAGUCUUGCGGCGACUCGACGUGUUGAGUCGUGUUAUGGGAGUUUCAGAGCAUGGGAACUCGACGAGUCAGCGGGUUGACUCGGCGAGUAGAGUCAGUCAGGAGGGUUGAAUUUGAAUGAGAACUUUGACUUUGACCAAGAGUUGACCAGUUGACUUCCAGGGGUAUUUUGGUUGUUGUUGGUAUUUAUUUGGUUUCGGUGAUUCAAUGGUGGAGUUCGUGAUGCUGGUCGGAGCAGCGUGAUCUUGAUUCUUCAGUCGGCAGUAGCAGGUGAGUCUUCUCACUAUACGUUACCUAGAGUGGUAUUAUGCGAUGACCAGAGGGUCUUAUGUGUUAUGUAUGAGAUUAUGUGCUAUGUGUUAUAUGUAUGUGGUAUGAUGUUAUAGACCAGACCGGAGGGUCCAACGAUACAGACCGGGCCGGAGGGUCCAACGAGCUAUGAUCGGGCCGGAGGGUCCAACGAGCUACGGGACUGGAGGGUCCCGCUGAGACACAUCGACCAAGGGGUCGUAUUAUAGCCUUGAGUGGCGUAUGUGUUGCAUGCGGUAUUUUGGGGAACUCACUAAGCUUCGUGCUUACAGUGUUUUGUGGUAUGUGUUUUAGGUUUCUUAGGUUCACGGGACGGCACCGGCUCGAUUGUACACACCAUAGAAAGAGUCAUGUUUUGAGGAUCCUGGUUUAUUAUGCAAGUGAAAAUGGAGUUAUGUUUUGUAAUUCGAUCAUGAAUGAGAUUUUAAGCAAAGUCUUUUUAAGAAUUAAACGAUUAUUUUUAAAUGAAUUUUUUUUUGAAAUUUUCGGUGUUACAAUCGACGAUUUGGUUAAGUUUUUACCGAUCUUCUAGACACUACAUGGACUCAACGAGUUGUUUGGCAACUUGGUGAGUUAACCCGGGUUUUUAUGAUUUCUGAGUUCUGAAGGAACUUGACGAGUCAGUAAGUUGCACUCGACGAGUUGAGUCAACAUGGACUAUUGACCUUGACCGUUAACUUUGACUUUGACUACGGGUUGACCAAGUUUGACUUUUGAGGGUAUUUGGGUAAUUUGAGAUUUUGAUGGAAUUAGUCAUAAGGUGGUUAUAGGCGGUUGAUUUCGAAGAUGUGAUUGGGAGUUGGAUAUUGUCACUACAACACCACUUGUGAGGUAAGUUCGCCACAUUAUUCUCAAGGGUCUAAGGCACCAAGGUCGGCCCUUUGGAUUGUUAUCUUGGUUAUCUUAUGGUUGUGUGCUAUCAUGAUCUUUUAGAUCGGUAUCCUGGUAGAUAAGAUGAUGUUAUGCUUAGUGAUCUGCUAGAUCUGUUUGACUUUUUGUAGACUGUUAUGUGCUUACCUGAUAUACGUGUGAUGGGUUUUUAGCACUACAUCAAUCCUAUGGUGUACAUGAAAACCCUAAAACUUGGGAUCUAGUUUCUCUAAUGAACAUGCAAUAAUCAUCCAAAGUUCAUAAACCCUAGAUCUAGCAUACAAUAAUCGAAUUAACAUAUGAAUUAGGGUUUAGAUCUUACCUUAAUUGUUAUGUAGCAAUAACAAUCACAAAUCUCGUUGAUCUUGACUCUUGAAAUCUUAGUGCCUCAAAUGUUGCACCUCUAAUGGAAUCACAAACACCAUGAGCAACAAGAUGACUUAAGAGAAGGAGGAGGAGCACCAAAAACGUCGAACAACCCUUUGUAGCACCUGGUUCUUGGUACGUAUUCUUUUAUUAAUUCUUUAAAAUGUUUUGCAUUUUGGCCUUGGACUCGGCGAGUUGAAGGACCGACUCACCAAGUAGAAGGGGGAUGAGACACGGGGUUUAAGCAAUGGACUCAACGAGUCGGGUCCUGGACUCGGCGAGUAGGCCCUGUCUGGACAAAAACCCUAACCUGAGGGUUUGCACCCUAUUUAAACACCUUAACUCGGCCUCCUUCGUCCCAUUUGCUCCCAGAAGACCCCCAUAGCAAACCCUAGCCGUUAUUGAAGCAAUCUAAGGCAUUUGGAGUGAUUUUGGUGCUUUUUUGAUCCAAGGAAGGAAGGAAAAGCUCGAAGGAUCAAGAGGAGGCUAGAAGGAUCCGAUUUUGAGCAUCAUUUGCAGUCUACAGAAGGUAUAAUGUCUAUACCUUGUUUGUUCUUUUGAUAUAUCCGACUUUGUGGAGUUCUAGGGCUUUUCUAAGCCAUUUUAGUCACCAACCAUGAUUGCAAGCAUGGUUGGGGGUUGAUGUUUCAGAUCUAGGUCCUUAGAGGGGUUGCAAGGCAAAAAGGAGUGGCUCGCCCCCCCAANGGAGUGGCUUUUACACUCAAAGAAGGCCCCAUGCAUUGUAAGAGCUUGUUUUAGGACCUUUUGAGCUCAAAGUCCCAUGCAAGCACGUAAAUGUUGUAACUUUACGUGCUAGAUCGAUUGUAGAAGCAUAUAUCUAUCUUUUGAUCAAGGGUUGUACAUCAGAAAUCGAAUAUUUAGUGAGAGGAUGUGACUGACUCGACGAGUCCAUUCUUGGACUCGGUGAGUCCAAGGUUUCUGUCCCAUAUCAGCUGAGGGUCAAAAGGACCCAGUUGAGUGUGGAAAGGUUUUAGAGGGUCCCGGGGAGUGACCCAACGUUCCAGACUAAGACAUUAUUCUGGAAUUCAUGGGACUCGGCAAGUGCAUGAGUAGACUCGGCGAGUCCAAGGCAAUCUUCUUAAGGAUGAAGACGAACUCGACGAAUUGUUCAUACAACUCGGCGAGUCAAGGACAAUACCUGAGUAUCAGUUGAAGUUGAACUCGACGAGUUGUUCAUACAACUCGGCGAGUCAGAUGAAGAUUCAGUUGACGUUCAAUUAGAAGGAAAACUCGUCGAGUUAUCGCCUAACUCGACGAGUAGAGACGGGUAUGAGGACAAAUGGAAGGAUUGGGACUCGGUGAGUUGGCGAGCCAACUCGGCGAGUUAGGUCAACUGGAAGUCGACUUUGAAUUUGACUUGGUGAGGGGUAUAAUGGUCAUUUUACCCUAAGAACAAUUAGCAGUGUAUGACUAAGUGUUUUGUGGGAAUUAUAGCCGGAGGAUUUCCAGAGCAGCAGUCAGAGGAUUCCCACAUAUAUCAGCAACUACUACGAGGUGAGUUACCUUCCACUAGGGGUGGGUCUUAGGCCACAAUGCCGACCCACCAAAAAGGAGUAUUUAGAAGAUAAUGGUCUUUGUGAUAAUUAUAUUGGUCUGGUUAUGUGUUGGUUAUGAGAUUUAUCUGGAUGAUAUGUUAUGUGUAUAGUAGGGAUUAGUUUCCCUAACAGUGGUCCGUAGGACCCAUGGGUAGGUCAGUACCCGAAUAUGCCUGACUGUAUGUUUAUAUCUAUAGAUUGUAUGCUAGUGGUAGGGGGGGAAAUAGUCCCUAGAUACCGUUUGAAAGAUACCUAUGUUGGGUUGAAAGAUACCGUUGACAGAUACCGGUUGAAAGAUACCGAUGUUGGUUACCGGUUGAAAGAUACCAAUGUUUGUUACCAGUUGAAAGAUACUGAUGAAGGUUACCAUUUGAAAUAUACCGGCGAUAUUGUAUGGUAUGUGGUAUGAUGGGGGAACUCAGUAAGCAUUUUGCUUACAAUUUUGGUUUUGGUUUCAGGUACCUCUUCGUCGAAAGGGAAGGAGUCGGCGGUGUAGCAGUGCAUCACAUACACAUGGUUUUCCGCAAGGAGUUUUUGGGACUGAACUCUAAUUUUUAUUACUUUUGAAGUUAUGUUUUGGGACACAACAAUAUGAUUUUGUGACGUGUUGUUUAUUCGACAAUAUCUUUGUAAAAAUGUUUAUGUAAUUGUCAAUUUAAAAAUGAAAUUUUCGGGCUUGAAAUUUGGGACGUUACACCCUUUGGGAUUACUUCCACAUGUUUUUGUUGCCUCAGGAGUUCCUUAUAUAGUUAUGCUAUUAGGGUUAUCAAACAAGGAAACCCUAAUUUGACUGCUUAAGCUCCAAGAAGCCCAUGGACUCCCUCCUUAGAAGCCUUGGACUAAUUCUGAUGGGUCUCCCCAUAGAUUUCGUCCACUCCAACUUCUAUGGAGUCAAUUAGCCCAUAUAUGCAACUAUCUUAUAAUUACAAUAUCACUCACCUUUAUUUAAUUAAGCUCUUUUAGCCACAAAAUUAAUUCUUAAUUAAUUCGUGACUAAUAUUAAUUUAACAAUAUGAUUUCUCUUUGAAUAUAUUAUUCAUAUAAUAUAUUAAUAAAUCAUAAUUAAUCCUUUUUCUCCUUAGUUCAUCAUAUCAGUUGCUAUGGUGAUGGAGACUCAAAAGGACCAUGCUCUAUCGGGUCAAGUACAUACCAAAAUAGUUAUGGGCUUAGACACAUAAUCCAAUAGUGUCCCACUUGGAUAAGUCUAAUAACUAUAUUGCAUAUGACUUUAGAACCUGAUCAACAAUCGUAGCUUUCAAAAGCCGUUGUCAAACUCUGAUCUUAUCAGAAACGUGUCCUUUAGAUAAGGAAUCAUAUAUUCUUCCAUCCUAGAUAUCGUGUGAGCUGAGACAUGGAUUUUAAUCAUACUCUCUUUUCAUGUGCUGUUUCCGGAUUAUCGAUUUAUGACGACUAAAAACAGACUACAAUUGAACACAUCAACUCAGUCCUGGCUUGGCCAAGCGCUUAGGGUUUCGUCACUAAAUCAUCAAGGGGUCCACAUAUAUCACUUUUAUCCCACUUUGGGUAAAAGGAAUGGAUAAACUUUGACUCAACGCUCGCUUGUACCUACUCAUCAAAUCACACACAACAACAUGUUUUAUAACACCAAAUUACUGGUGCGUUUACUUAUUAUAAAUGUGCAAACGACUUGCAUAAUACAACUCACACAUCUCGGUUUCAAGAAUAUAAUAAAUUAUCGUCUCACUAAUCAACCAUGAUAAAAUCCCUGAAGUGAUUCAAGCGAGCGUGGGUUUAAUCCAAUGCUCAAAUCAUAUUCAUAAGAACUCAUGAACGUUGCAGUAAACCUUUGCUAUGUCUAAUACACUUUAGACAAUCUACAAGCCAAUUCGUGACAGUCUUCCUUCAUACCUACUUCUAAAGCAUGAGCGACUGUGGAUGGUUUGAAUAAUCUUAUUAUUCAGGAAGUCAAAACAUGCAAAGUGAAACAAAAUAAUAAUGGAACCCAAUAUGUCCCCAAACUAUUGAGUAUAAAUAAAACUCCUUUUACUUGUCACCAUAUUGAUUACACAUUAUUCAUUAUAUAAUGUUUCAGAUAAUCAACUUAUUACUUGAAUUAUAACAAUAGUUGUCCCAUGCACCAAGCAUGCAAACUUUGUUUACUUACGGUCCAUUCUUUGUGAAAUAGAUAAAUUGAAAACAUUUCCAAUGAUGCUCAUUUCACAAUAUCCCUAAUCCUUAUCGUUAGUGUAAGAACAAAAUUCUCGCAACUACUAGAAUAUGUUAGAUUCUAACAUUUUAUGCAAUGAUCCCUUUUGUAAUCUUAUUGCACAAAGGUCACCAAGACUUUGCCAAUGACAUUACAAAGAUCUCUAUUGGAGAUUUUUACAAGACAAUUCCAUAGAUGUGAAGUCUCACAUUCAAAGUACAUUCCUUUGAACAUCCUUCUUGCAUAAAAGUUUCUAAUCUAGACAUAAAUUCUUAACGCCCAACUCCCAAUAUGGUAACAUUUCCAUAUUUUCCAUAUGACAACCUAUUGUGAAUAGAGUCUUAUCUAUGCAUAAUAAUGUCGAUAUGGUCCAUUCAUUACUAUACUUCCAACUGCUCACAAGCGACCAAUCCUUAGCGAACCUUAGAUUGUCGUUGACAGUUGUUCAAUUAUUUUAGUCAAACCGGUUCUAGUCCCUUUUCCCUUUGAACGCCCUAGGAAUUUGAAAAUUUUAGAAGGGUCGAAUAUUACAACAUAUGCAAUCGAUGCUAUACCCAAAGCGUAUGGGACACGAUUCAUAAUAAAAAAAAUGUGAUACUUUAGCACUUCCUUGGACCCUUUUAAGUUGAAUCUUUUCAACAUAACAUCUAUCUAUGUCCUUUGACUAAAUUUGAUUAAAAUUUCUCGAUCCAAGCUUUUAGAUUUUGAAACGAAGUAUAAUAUUCUCUCCCUUAAUUAUAGCAAAACAACUUUUCAACCCCUACAACUUUGCAAAGUGAAACUUUUGUUUUCUAUAAUUAAUAUUGCUAACAUGCAGCACUUAAAAUAAUAAUCAUGCUCCCAUUAACAUGAUAAUCUAAUCCAUACCAACAUAACAUGUAUACUCCCACUAGCUUUGACACUUAUUUAGAAAACAUUUGGACUUCUAGAAAGCAAUACUUAUUGACUUCCAUAGUUCAUAUUUCUAAUAUGAUAUGCUUCGAUAAGCCUUUAUAUAAGCUUCUAAACCUUAUACACCUUUCCUUAGAUAGAUUAUAUGUGUGUCUAACCAAUUUCAGCACUUAUAGGAAGAAGUCUUAAAUCUUUAAAUUAGUUUCCAAAUCUCACAAUUCGAACUAUGAAGAGGGAUGUCGUAAUCAUAAUCGAAUUUGAGAAUGCAUUUUACACAACAACUAACUCCCACUACAAGAAAAAUAGCCUUUUACGACGUGCAAACCACGACACUCGGUGAUUUAUGUUACGCAAAGGAGAGUGACAUUAAAAGAGUGUCGUCUAUUCAAAAAAUUUAAGGAUUUAGGUCACGCAUUAUUGCGUGCCCUUAAAUAGUGUCUCAUGUAAAAAAAUUAAAAACACGGAGGGCACUCGUGCGUCCUCUGUGAAUGUCGUUUUAUAUUUUUUUAAGAAACGCGCGUCUCUAAGAGGGAAAAUGAAAUCCCCAAAAUUUUUAAAUACCCGCCUUCUUCUCCUACAUUCAUUUCCAUAUGACUCCCAUAUCUACCCUACAUCGUCUCCACCUCUCACCCACAUCCACUGCCUCACAAAAUUUUCACAAGCUAACGAUUCCAUAGCCUACUAGCGAUUGAGGGUUAUUUUCACAUCUGCUCUACUUCCCAUCUUCCAUCUACUUCUGCCCUAGAUCCGACGAUUGAAGAUUACAAAUAUGUGUAGGGUUUUAUUUUAUUUUAAGCUUCCAGUUCUCCUGUUUCCGUGGUGAUCGACCGGUGGUGAAACGAUUCAGCGCCAAAAAAAGAAGCGGCUCUCCAUUCUCUUCUCGAAUGAGAUUUCUAAGGAUUUACAUCGGUAUCUCAAACGACUUCAACUCUUUUCACAGAUUUCUUCCCAUCUGAUUUUAUGAUUUCAGAUUUCUUAUUGGCGACUCAUUUCCUCUCCCAUCGAGUUCGAAAUUUUCACUCAAGGAAGUAAUGGCAGCGGAAGAUGAUGAAGGGCCUUCAAUGGUGCUUUGUUUAUUACACUAUGGUAGCGGAGAUGACGGUGUUGUUGAUAGCCCUAAACAAUAGUCAUCUUAAAAGAAAUUAUCAAAGAGAAAGGUACGUAUCAGUUCUAGAGUUCUUAUAUAAAAUUAGGUCAGCUGUACCCUUCUUAUAUAAAAUUAAUGAAAUCGAUUUUAAAAGCAAGCCAUAAUAUUGAUUUUGAAAUCGAGCCCCAGAUUUCGGAAUAUAGCCCUGCCUGUUACCAUUAAAAUUUACCCCUGCUUCUGAUUUUUUAGCUUCCUGGUCAGGCCGACUCAUAGAACUAUUCCCCACAAACCCUUUGACUUCCGAAACAUCACCCCCAUCCUUGUUCUUUCCCAUAACCUUGUUACUUUUCCAACUUUGCCCCUGUUCAAUCUUUGAAUCAUUAGACUUUCCUUUCAUUGGCUGAAUAUUCCCAUAAUACCCCUGCCCAUUUUUACCUCCUGUCUUCCCACCUCUAUCAAAACUAAAUUCCAAAUUUUCCUGAUUAUUCCCAUUAUACCCUUGAUAGCGAAUUCCAGCAGAAGCCCCAGAAUUUCCAAUUUUCGGAUAAUUCCCUUUUUGCCCCUGCUUGCGGUUUCCAGCAAAAACCCCUGAACCUUCAUUUUUCGAGAAAUUCCCUUGAUGCCCCUGACUCGAAAACUGUUUUUCCCCCNNNNNNNNNNNNNNNNNNNNNNNNNNNNNNNNNNNNNNNNNNNNNNNNNNNNNNNNNNNNNNNNNNNNNNNNNNNNNNNNNNNNNNNNNNNNNNNNNNNNNNNNNNNNNNNNNNNNNNNNNNNNNNNNNNNNNNNNNNNNNNNNNNNNNNNNNNNNNNNNNNNNNNNNNNNNNNNNNNNNNNNNNNNNNNNNNNNNNNNNNNNNNNNNNNNNNNNNNNNNNNNNNNNNNNNNNNNNNNNNNNNNNNNNNNNNNNNNNNNNNNNNNNNNNNNNNNNNNNNNNNNNNNNNNNNNNNNNNNNNNNNNNNNNNNNNNNNNNNNNNNNNNNNNNNNNNNNNNNNNNNNNNNNNNNNNNNNNNNNNNNNNNNNNNNNNNNNNNNNNNNNNNNNNNNNNNNNNNNNNNNNNNNNNNNNNNNNNNNNNNNNNNNNNNNNNNNNNNNNNNNNNNNNNNNNNNNNNNNNNNNNNNNNNNNNNNNNNNNNNNNNNNNNNNNNNNNNNNNNNNNNNNNNNNNNNNNNNNNNNNNNNNNNNNNNNNNNNNNNNNNNNNNNNNNNNNNNNNNNNNNNNNNNNNNNNNNNNNNNNNNNNNNNNNNNNNNNNNNNNNNNNNNNNNNNNNNNNNNNNNNNNNNNNNNNNNNNNNNNNNNNNNNNNNNNNNNNNNNNNNNNNNNNNNNNNNNNNNNNNNNNNNNNNNNNNNNNNNNNNNNNNNNNNNNNNNNNNNNNNNNNNNNNNNNNNNNNNNNNNNNNNNNNNNNNNNNNNNNNNNNNNNNNNNNNNNNNNNNNNNNNNNNNNNNNNNNNNNNNNNNNNNNNNNNNNNNNNNNNNNNNNNNNNNNNNNNNNNNNNNNNNNNNNNNNNNNNNNNNNNNNNNNNNNNNNNNNNNNNNNNNNNNNNNNNNNNNNNNNNNNNNNNNNNNNNNNNNNNNNNNNNNNNNNNNNNNNNNNNNNNNNNNNNNNNNNNNNNNNNNNNNNNNNNNNNNNNNNNNNNNNNNNNNNNNNNNNNNNNNNNNNNNNNNNNNNNNNNNNNNNNNNNNNNNNNNNNNNNNNNNNNNNNNNNNNNNNNNNNNNNNNNNNNNNNNNNNNNNNNNNNNNNNNNNNNNNNNNNNNNNNNNNNNNNNNNNNNNNNNNNNNNNNNNNNNNNNNNNNNNNNNNNNNNNNNNNNNNNNNNNNNNNNNNNNNNNNNNNNNNNNNNNNNNNNNNNNNNNNNNNNNNNNNNNNNNNNNNNNNNNNNNNNNNNNNNNNNNNNNNNNNNNNNNNNNNNNNNNNNNNNNNNNNNNNNNNNNNNNNNNNNNNNNNNNNNNNNNNNNNNNNNNNNNNNNNNNNNNNNNNNNNNNNNNNNNNNNNNNNNNNNNNNNNNNNNNNNNNNNNNNNNNNNNNNNNNNNNNNNNNNNNNNNNNNNNNNNNNNNNNNNNNNNNNNNNNNNNNNNNNNNNNNNNNNNNNNNNNNNNNNNNNNNNNNNNNNNNNNNNNNNNNNNNNNNNNNNNNNNNNNNNNNNNNNNNNNNNNNNNNNNNNNNNNNNNNNNNNNNNNNNNNNNNNNNNNNNNNNNNNNNNNNNNNNNNNNNNNNNNNNNNNNNNNNNNNNNNNNNNNNNNNNNNNNNNNNNNNNNNNNNNNNNNNNNNNNNNNNNNNNNNNNNNNNNNNNNNNNNNNNNNNNNNNNNNNNNNNNNNNNNNNNNNNNNNNNNNNNNNNNNNNNNNNNNNNNNNNNNNNNNNNNNNNNNNNNNNNNNNNNNNNNNNNNNNNNNNNNNNNNNNNNNNNNNNNNNNNNNNNNNNNNNNNNNNNNNNNNNNNNNNNNNNNNNNNNNNNNNNNNNNNNNNNNNNNNNNNNNNNNNNNNNNNNNNNNNNNNNNNNNNNNNNNNNNNNNNNNNNNNNNNNNNNNNNNNNNNNNNNNNNNNNNNNNNNNNNNNNNNNNNNNNNNNNNNNNNNNNNNNNNNNNNNNNNNNNNNNNNNNNNNNNNNNNNNNNNNNNNNNNNNNNNNNNNNNNNNNNNNNNNNNNNNNNNNNNNNNNNNNNNNNNNNNNNNNNNNNNNNNNNNNNNNNNNNNNNNNNNNNNNNNNNNNNNNNNNNNNNNNNNNNNNNNNNNNNNNNNNNNNNNNNNNNNNNNNNNNNNNNNNNNNNNNNNNNNNNNNNNNNNNNNNNNNNNNNNNNNNNNNNNNNNNNNNNNNNNNNNNNNNNNNNNNNNNNNNNNNNNNNNNNNNNNNNNNNNNNNNNNNNNNNNNNNNNNNNNNNNNNNNNNNNNNNNNNNNNNNNNNNNNNNNNNNNNNNNNNNNNNNNNNNNNNNNNNNNNNNNNNNNNNNNNNNNNNNNNNNNNNNNNNNNNNNNNNNNNNNNNNNNNNNNNNNNNNNNNNNNNNNNNNNNNNNNNNNNNNNNNNNNNNNNNNNNNNNNNNNNNNNNNNNNNNNNNNNNNNNNNNNNNNNNNNNNNNNNNNNNNNNNNNNNNNNNNNNNNNNNNNNNNNNNNNNNNNNNNNNNNNNNNNNNNNNNNNNNNNNNNNNNNNNNNNNNNNNNNNNNNNNNNNNNNNNNNNNNNNNNNNNNNNNNNNNNNNNNNNNNNNNNNNNNNNNNNNNNNNNNNNNNNNNNNNNNNNNNNNNNNNNNNNNNNNNNNNNNNNNNNNNNNNNNNNNNNNNNNNNNNNNNNNNNNNNNNNNNNNNNNNNNNNNNNNNNNNNNNNNNNNNNNNNNNNNNNNNNNNNNNNNNNNNNNNNNNNNNNNNNNNNNNNNNNNNNNNNNNNNNNNNNNNNNNNNNNNNNNNNNNNNNNNNNNNNNNNNNNNNNNNNNNNNNNNNNNNNNNNNNNNNNNNNNNNNNNNNNNNNNNNNNNNNNNNNNNNNNNNNNNNNNNNNNNNNNNNNNNNNNNNNNNNNNNNNNNNNNNNNNNNNNNNNNNNNNNNNNNNNNNNNNNNNNNNNNNNNNNNNNNNNNNNNNNNNNNNNNNNNNNNNNNNNNNNNNNNNNNNNNNNNNNNNNNNNNNNNNNNNNNNNNNNNNNNNNNNNNNNNNNNNNNNNNNNNNNNNNNNNNNNNNNNNNNNNNNNNNNNNNNNNNNNNNNNNNNNNNNNNNNNNNNNNNNNNNNNNNNNNNNNNNNNNNNNNNNNNNNNNNNNNNNNNNNNNNNNNNNNNNNNNNNNNNNNNNNNNNNNNNNNNNNNNNNNNNNNNNNNNNNNNNNNNNNNNNNNNNNNNNNNNNNNNNNNNNNNNNNNNNNNNNNNNNNNNNNNNNNNNNNNNNNNNNNNNNNNNNNNNNNNNNNNNNNNNNNNNNNNNNNNNNNNNNNNNNNNNNNNNNNNNNNNNNNNNNNNNNNNNNNNNNNNNNNNNNNNNNNNNNNNNNNNNNNNNNNNNNNNNNNNNNNNNNNNNNNNNNNNNNNNNNNNNNNNNNNNNNNNNNNNNNNNNNNNNNNNNNNNNNNNNNNNNNNNNNNNNNNNNNNNNNNNNNNNNNNNNNNNNNNNNNNNNNNNNNNNNNNNNNNNNNNNNNNNNNNNNNNNNNNNNNNNNNNNNNNNNNNNNNNNNNNNNNNNNNNNNNNNNNNNNNNNNNNNNNNNNNNNNNNNNNNNNNNNNNNNUUUUUUUUUCCUUUCUUUUAUGGGUAAACUACAGGAAAUAACCUCCUACUUUAUUACUCUGUAUAGGAUGUAUAUGUAACAAUUCUUUACACAUGAUAUCAAACAGGAAAAUGAGGUAGCUAACUAAACUAACUACUUCAAUUUUCAUAUACUUCAAUAAAAAAUUAAAAUAUAUUAUGUUUGUUAAUGAUUUUGUAUUGCAGGUACCUUUUCAACACUUUGCUGAGAAAAUUGGUGGCUAUCUUUUGAAUAGGAGGAGUUAGUAGGUAUUUAGACAUGCAUACCAAAGAUAACAUUUUGUACAGAGAGUUCUUGGCACACAGGAAGCUAGAUAAUGCAAUUGUAUAUAAAUGAGUUCAUUUUUUUAUAACAUUUACUCACUACUGGAAUAGUUAUUUGUAUUUGACAUAUUAGUGAAAUGAAUUAUCUUUGUUAUUUAUGGUAUUUUAUUUUGUAUUAUGAGAUUUUUAAUGUAUUAUUUAAUUUGAAAAUUAGAAAAAUCUAUAAAUAAUAUUUUUUUUAAACAUUUAAAAUUAUGAUACGCAAAAAUGUGUGUCAUCUUCAUUUAUGACAUGGCCUUUCUUGACAGUGGCUUUCUUGACAGGGCCUUCCUUGAUACGCAUGUGAAUGCGUAUCGUCUUCCUUUAUGACAGGGCCUUCCUUGAUACGCAUUGCGUGUCGUAAACACGCGUCGUAAAUGCGCGUCGUAAAUGAGCGUCGUAAAUGCGUGUCGUCUAUAGACGACGCGCAAAAGCGCGUUGUCUUUCUUUAUGACAGGGCCUUCCUUGACGCGCAUUUGCGCGUCGUCUGAGCCUUUUACGACGUGCAAUGAGCGUCGUAAAAGGCUGUUUUUCUUGUAGUGUCCUUAAAAUCUUCCUAGUGAAAGCGUUUCCUCACAAUCAUUUUCAUGAAGGAUAGAAACCUUAUGACACUUAGAUUUUAUGGUGUAUGUGUUCUUGUCCAUGUGAAUUUGUAAUAACAAUAAUCAUAAGAUAAUGUUUGCAACAUAAUCUUAUGGACAGAACUUGUUCAUUCUUGAUUUCUUGCCGUCAAGGGUCCUACAAUUGCUUCCAAGUUAUUUAGCAGCUCACCUAUACUAGUCAAUGUACUUUCAUUGAACAAGGUGCCUGCCUUUAUACAGUUUAUUGAGAGCUCGUAGAACUCAUAUGCAUAAGUAACUUUACUGGAAUGACACAAAAACAAGAAUAUGUCAACACGAUAGGUUACAAACCUCAAGUCAUGUGCUAGUGUUUAACUAGGUUUAUUCUUGAUUUGUUCUUGAAACCUUUUCAAGAUCAAAUAGACUCCCACUAACCUCUUAACAUAUAAGAUAAUCUUCUUAGCCAUACUAGUGCACUAAGGUGUCUUUAGAGGAUCAAUUGUGAUAUGGUUUCAUAAUCAGCAAGACUAUCAGAAAACAUGAUACUAAAGUACUCUUCUAUCUUUUCAGAUUGGAGAAACUUUUAUCUUUCUGCCUAUUUGAUUCUUCUCAUUCGUUCUGUAAUUCACUGAAACUUUUCAAUGAUUCAGAAUUACACUUAAUAUUGUAAGCAUAAGCACAUUUACUAGACUUUUAGUAAGUCAUGACGAAUAAUCUUAUUGUUUUUGUGGUAGACUUGACUAGUGCACAACAUUGUGUACCAGUUCUCCUAGUCCUUCUCUUGACUAUUUGUCAAGGAAUAAGUCUUAAUUUUCCAAAUAUGAAGGUUCUCAUUCAUCAUACAAUACAAGUUGUAUGAUUCCAUUUUUUUGUCCAAUUCAUACUCAGGCAUCAAGAAUCUUUCCUUAUUUGGUAAAUUCUCGACAUUACCAUAAAUAAUAUAACUAAGAAUCACAUCCAUUUCAACAUUACAGAAAUAAACAUCAAUUUUCAUACAUGCCAUUGAAAGGAAAUAUAAAUAAGACAAAAAACCAAAAAAAAAUUUAUUUAUAAAAAGUGCGGAAAACCUUGUCCUUACAAUGCAAUUCAAAUGAAAACUAUGCUAUUACAUAUUCCUAUGCAAUCUAUCAUAACUCUACGUGGCAUUUCAAAAAUCCGAUCAUCAAAUCGUGCGAUCGAAAUCCAUAUCUUCGCGAUCAGACUCAACACGCGUCUUGCUUAAAGCUUCCUUUCUUUUCUUCAAUCCUACAAAACACUAAAUGUAAUCUUAUCACCUGAAGUAGAGUCAUACAUCUUGACUCUCCCAUCUCUUAGAUCUCUCAGGUAGUCAGGGCAGCUUCGUAACCAAUGCCCCCUCUUUUGGCAGUAGAAACAUAUGGAUUCUUCUGGAAUGGUACAUAGGACAAUCUCAGACUCAACCUUUCUUUCGCGUAGAGAAAACUUUUUUGGACUUUCAAUGUUGCCAUUUCCCAUAGAAGGUUCGGAUAUUGAUUUACCAGACAAAUUUGCUCGACCAGUGCGCCAAAUAGUACUCUCUAACGAAAUUAACAUAUGAAUCGGGAAGUGAGUGAAGAACCAAGUCAACACCCAACUUCUUUGAGACAUCGACGACCAACAUUCCCAAUCUAUCAAUAUGCAACUUCAUAUCCAAGACGUGAGCGCAUACCGACUUUCCAUCUUCAUGUCUUUUCGCCUAUAGGGCUUAAGUGGUCUUGAACUUUUCAAGUCUUCGAACACGUAGGUCAGGGAGAAUUAUUGGAGGAGGUGGAGGAAGUGAAGAGUGAUUUCCAUUUCCACAAUCCAAUCGUGAAACAUCAUCUUCAAGUGGAAAAAAUUUUCCAACGGAUUCAAGAAGACCAUAGUUGUAAGACUUUGACACCUACAAAAUGGGAUAAAAUUCAAGUAAGUUGAUUGAGUCCAUAAUAAAAACACCCAAAUGAGAUAUUAAGGCUAGGACCUAACACAAUAUUCAAAAAUUUGGAAGAGGGAUGUCGUAAUCCAAACUACAUAACAUUUCAAGGUAGGUAAAUGACAAUUUACGAAUUUCCGUCAUGAAAAGAGAAAAUUGAAAAUAAAGUUCUAAAUGAAUUGAAACUCCUAGAUAUUUUGAGAUUCAUUGAACUUUUCAAUGUCAAGUUUAAAUCUCGAGUGUGUCCUUCUUUUGUGACCAGGAUGCCGAGGAUCACAAACAAGUUGUGGAUAACGAUGCAAAUAUACAUGGUGCCCUCAAUGUUACAGUCUCCUAAUCGAUGUGCCAGUUAACCACACACGCUCCACUAACGUCUUAGCAAUGGUACAAAGUGUAAUUUCAUGGAAUAGCACCAACUCCACAUUUUUUCCUAAAGUAACUAAGAUUUGGAAAUUUAUAAAGUGUUUUGUUACUUCGUAUUCAUUGUACUUAUAAUGAAAGGUUGUGUCCUAUCCUCCCCGUUCGGCUAACAACCCUCCACUAGUCAAGAGUGCGGCGGGUAAGAGUGGAUANNNNNNNNNNNNNNNNNNNNNNNNNNNNNNNNNNNNNNNNNNNNNNCCCCUUAUAGCUAGUUUCGUGAAUGAGGCCUACUAACGGUAAGACUGACAUUUUACUUAUACAUAUAUAAUAUUAGACUUUUAAUUUUAUAUAUAGUGUAAGGGUGUAAUUUACACUUUUAAAAUACUAGGUGGUUUAAUUUAAUAAAUUUUAAAUUUUAAUUUAAUUAAAUAUAAACCAUAUCAUUAUGGAUUUAUUAACUCUCUUUUAAUUAUACACUUAAUUAAUUUAAUAAAACCAUGAGGGUGUAAUUUGAACUUUUCAAAAACCAGGGUUUUAGAAUUUAGCAUUUAAAAAUUUGAACUUUUAAUCAAAAAUUUAAAUUCCAAAACUUGAGGGCAAGUUUUGAAACUUUUCAAAACCAAAUAGAUCAAAUUACAAAUAUUUCCAAUUAAUCAAAUAAUCAGUGAUUAUCUAAAUUUGACCUAAUUCUAUUUCAAUGCAAGAUAAUGCACAUCAAAUAAUACAAAUAAUUAAAGUUUAUCAUAUAAGGCAAUAAAUAUCUUAUUAAAUGAUAAUUAUCUUCAAUUUGGGUUAGGAUAAUCAUACCUAAACAAUAAAAAUCAGAUUUUAUUAAUAAAAAACGUUGAUCGUAAUUAUCCCACAAACAAAUCAUUAAAAAUCCCAAAAUUUCCUCUGUCUGACCCUGCACUCGCCGAGUCAGGCUGACUUGCCGAGUUCAUCCACUGACUUUCCAAAUCAGUCAGGCAGACGACAAAAAAUUAGAUUUUCAGGCCAAGUAUGAUCAUAUAAGGAUCAAAUACAUCAAACAAACAGCCUAGGCUCUGAUACCACUGAUGGGUUUUGAGCACUACAUCAAUCCUAUGGUGUACAUGCAAACCCUAACGUCUUUGAUCUAGUUUGUCUAAUGAACAUGUAAUAAUCAUCCAAAGCUCAUAAACCCUAGAUCUAGCAUACAAUAAUCAAAUUAACAUAUGAAUUAGGGUUUAGAUCUUACCUUGAUUGUUAUGUAGCAAUAACUAUCACAAAUCUCCUUGAUCUUGACUCUUGAAAGCUUAGUGCCUCAAAUGUUGCACCUCUAAUGGAAUCACAAACACCACGAGCAACAAGAUGACUUAGGAGAAGGAGGAGGAGCACCAAAAAUGUCUAAGAACCCUUAGGGAUUACUUACACACGUUUUUGGGGCCUCAUGGGCUCCUUAUAUGAUUAGGCUAUUAGGGUUAUCAAACAGCGAAACCCUAAUUUGACUGCUUAAGCUCCAAGCAGCCCAUGGACUCCCUGUUUAGAAGCCUUAGACAAAUUCUAAUGGGUUUCCCCAUAGAUUUCGUCCACUCCAACUUUUAUGGAGUCCAUUAGCCCAUUUUAUGCAACUAUCUUAUAAUUACAAUAUUAGUCCCCUUUAUUUAAUUAAUCUCUUUUAGCCGCGAAAUUAAUUCUUAAUUAAUUUUUGACUAAUAUUAAUUAAACAAUAUGAUUUCUCUUUUAAUAUAUUAUUCAUAUAAUAUAUUAAUAAAUCAUAAUUAAUCAUUUUUUCCUUAGUUCAUCCUAUCAGUUGCUAUGGUGAAGGAAACCCAAAAGGACCAUGCUCUAUCGAGUCAAGUACAUAUGAAAAUAGUUAUGGACUUAGACACCAAAUCCAUCAAUGUGUACAUGUUUAAUUGGUAGUUGAGGGUAUUCCAUCCUGAGGAUGAUUGGACCCCUAGUAUGUUGUCUCUGUAGACUGUUAUGUGACUAUCUAAUGGAUGUGCACAUGUUUGAUUGUUAGCUGAGAGUAUUCCAUCCCGAGGAUGAUUGGACUAAUAGUAUGUGGGCAUUCCAACUCGAUGGUUGUGGGCCAAGAGUAUUCCAUCUCGAGGAUGAUUGUACUCAUAGUAUGUUUUCAUUCCAACCCGAUGGUUGAGGGUCGGGGGUAUUCGAACCUGAUGGUUGAUUGGACCUAUAGUAUGUUGGCAUUCCAACUCGACAGCUUAGGGUCGGUGGUAUUCCAACCAAAUGGUUGACUGGACCCAUAGUAUGUUUUCAUUCCAACCCAACGGUUGAGGGCCUGUGGUAUCCUAACUUGAUGGUUGAUUGGAACCAUAGUAUGUUGGCAUUCCAACCCGAUGGUUGAUUGGACCCAUAGUAUGUUGUUUGUUAUUAUAUGUGUAUCGAGCUUACAUUUAUAGAUUAUUGUUUCAGGUACUUCAGAACAUCGGUGUAACGCCCCGAUUCUCGAAUACCAAUUUGUGGUUAUAAAUUCUCAUUUAUUCAAGGUCUACUCAACGAGUUGGUUGCCUGACUCGUUGAGUAGUAGCAGGUUUGGGCCACAUGUUUAAGUGACCAACUCGUCGAGUCGGAAGAGUGACUCGACGAGUUAGAACUAGAGGCUAAAACAUUAAUUUCCGGGGUUUGGCACCCUAUUUAAGGGACCAUUAGCCUCCUUUAGUUCCUUUGCAGCCUCUUGAUAGUCCAGAUACCCUAGUUCGUGUGAGUGUGCUCCAUUUGUGUGUUUUAAAGCUUUGGAAGGUGUACCCUUGUGAGAAGAACUUGAAGAGCAAGUGACUAGGAGCAAAGAACUUGUGGGGAUCUGAUAUCUACCUCAGAUGGCAUAUCUUGUAAGUUAUCAAGUCGUUACCUUGACCUCAUUUCAUUCUAGAUCUCAUUGGUUAAAGUUUUUGGGUUUAUCUAGCAUAUUGUGAAACUAUUUUUGGGUAUGAGCUCAAAUCUGAAGUUCUAACUUCAGAUCUGAACUCUCCUUGGUCUCUAAAUCGAUAAAGCUAUCAGCUUUGGCAAGCAUGAACCCCUCCUUAAGUGUAAAACCCCAUUUCAAGCUUGGUUUUGGCAUUUUGAGUCAAUAGAGCCUUGCAUGCACAUAAAGUUUGCAACUUUACGUGAUAAUCAUGCCUUGGGAAGUUGGAUCUGUAGUAUCGAGCCUUAGCAUGGCUUAAAAAGCAUCUAUAUGGAUGAAGGACUGAAAGGACUCGGCGAGUCGCAUGGUAGACUCGGCGAGUCAUAUGAAGAUGGUCAUGAACUCGACGGGUUAGAUUAACAACUCGGCGAGACCGAAGAAGAUUGCCUUGGGCUCGGCGAGUGGCAUGGUGACUCGGCGAGUUGGCAAGUUAUGCAAGGACCUCGGCGAGUAGCUGAAGGUACUCGACGAGUUGAGGUCAACAUGGACUGUUGACCUAGAUAGUUGACUUUGACUUUGACCAAGGGUUGAUCGUUUUGACUUUUGAGGAUAAUUGGUAAGCGGGUUCUUAUUAAUUGGUUCUUUGAAGGUUAUAGGUGUUGGAGUUUGGGGCAGUAUUUCGGGAGCAUGAUUUCGUUGUUCAGUCCGGCAUUGCAAUGUGAGUUAUCCUUACUGUACUCAAGGGUCUAAGGCACCAAGGCCGACCCUUUGUUUGUUACUGGGAUUAUUACUGUUGUGAUAUGUUAGUUCAGUAUCCUAGUAGAUGGGAUGGUUAUAUACUAGUAUGAUCUGUUAGAUCGGUAUCUUGGUAGAUCGGAGGUGGUUAUGCUUAGUGACCCAUAGUUGGUCCGACUGUCUACAUGCUAGUUGUUAUGCCAGUUGGGUAGAACUAUAGGACUACCUGUAGUAUUAUGUGAUUAUCUGUAUAUGCAUUAGUUGUGUUAUAUGUCGACAUAUUAUGUGGGAUGGGUUGAGGUGAAACUGCUCCAUGCGGUAACCAACAAACCCAGGAGCAUUCCAAAUAUGAGCUGAGGGAGACUCGUACUGUGGGCUCGAUGGCAAUCCAGAUGUGAGUUGUGGGCUCGGAAGGCAAUCCAGACUCACACUGUGGGCCGAAGGGUAAUCCAGUCUGUAAAGUUGUAGACCCAAUACAUGUUGUUAGUUUUAUAUGCGUUAUGUGAAGUGUAUCGGUAUGUUGGCAUUCCAACCUAAUGGUUGAGGGCCUGGAUGAUUGGACCCAUAGUAUGUUGUUGUUAUUGUAUGUGUAUUGUGGUAUAUAUGGGUAUUUUGGGGGUAACUCACUAAGCUUUCGGGCUUACAGUUUCAGUUUAUUGCUUUAGGUUCAACGGAUGGCUGUAGGUAGGUGAAGGCAUGACCGUACACUUCCUCGAUUGAUGAUUGUGAUUUCUGGGAACUCUAAUGUUGACACUAUUUUGAAAACAAAUUGUAAUAAUUGAAUGGUUUUGAAUGAUUUAAAAAGUUUUAAAUCGGCUCAAGUUUUGUGGGGGUUACAUCUUGGUAUCAGAGCCUUGGUUUGAGUGAAUUAGAGGAACACUCGUGUGAAUCCAGUCUCAAAUCAAGGAAAGAUUUUCAAAAUGAUUUUAAAUGGUUUUCAAAAAAAGUAAAAGAGGAUGUGAAGUGUACGAUCAGCCGGAGGCAGUAAGUAGACCCCAUAAUACCAUACGGUUAUUUGAUAUUGUGAUAUGUUAGAACAACAUGCUAGUACUAGGCUAGGGAUCUUCAUAAAGUGCAUGAUAGAAUUGCCUAAGUGUACGAUGCCUGUUAGCCUAGGGUUUUCCUUAUAUGAGAUUGACAUCAUUACUGUUGUUACUUGUGUAUGCAUCAUAGCUGUAUAUAAUUAAGAUCUAAUAGCCUGAGAAUGUUUGAUCUAGCCUUAUGUUAUGUUCUUAUUGAUUAGAGCUUAGGGUAGGAUUGGAUAUUCAAAAGUCUAUAGGGUCCAACGUUAUGUUUGGCUAGUAUACACUAGUACUGCAGGAGUUGGUGGAAGUUUCAUGGAUGGGUGGGUAGUGAGGGGCCGGGAGGCCAGUUAUGAUAUAUUUAGCAUUACUCUAGGAGUGAGGAUUUAUCGCUCGAUAUGUAUAUGUGUAUUGUAGGGUGUUGUGGUGAUACUUGAGACAAAUAUGGGUAGGUGUGGAAGGAAGUAUGGGCCCGUACUACUAAAAGCACAGGACCCAUACGCGUAUCAAGGAAGUCACAACCCCUAGGAUUUUAGUUGGAGUCGUUGCCCUGUUAUGCUAUUGAUUAUUUGAGACGUCUUGAGAACGGAUCCAGGUUAGGAUCGGGAGCGGGCAGCCAAGAUAUGCAAACAUCUUCAGGGGGAUCGUGUUAGUGAGAUCAUUCGGGAGUAGGUGAUCAAUAUUAUCUGAGGGCAGUUUCCAGAGAUUUCGGGUCUAUUAAGACAACCAUGGUUGAGUAUAUCGACGAACUCUAUCCAUCCAUUGCCGAGACGGUUGUCGCGACAGUUUUAAUAGCUGUAACAACGACAUGGAGAGGAGCUGGUCGAGCCUUCCAGUAUCGGGACUUGUUAUUGGUGCAUAUUCUGAUGAGCAGAGGGCUGCAGUUAUCUGGGAUCAGGAAGAUAAUCGGUACUCGUUAUAUUUCUGCGGGUUGAGCGGGAGAGGAUAGCAUGUGGGUUUCUAGAUUUAAGGCUCGUGGGUUUUGCUUGAGGUCGGAAUAUGCGUCACAGGGACACCGGAAUGGAGUGAUGUCUAUGACCAACUAGUGUUUUUGCAGCUGGAAAUGGAAUGGUUAAUUGAUCGAUUGGAUUGUCGUUUUGUAGCGAAAGGAUUGUGCCCUCUCAGUUUUUCGAGCUCGAAAGAGUGAGCAGGCUUGUGACCAGGGGCAAGUUGUCUUAUAGCUUAGGGUCAGUUGGUUAUAGAGGUUAGCAACAUUAUUUCAGCGCCGAUGAGCGCAGGUGGGUCGAUGUGGCAUAAGUAAGUGUGGAGUAUGGUUUGCCUUGGAUCUCUUUCAUCAGACGGUAAGAUUUUAUCGUGCGAUCUAUUACACUUUUGGGAAUGUAGAUUAUGUCGUGGGAGUAGUUAUCGACCGGUUUAGGGGAGAGGUUGUUUCAGCUGCUGUAGUUCAGCUGUGGAUGUUUGAGCUGGUAAGUGAGUUAGGGUGCGAACCAUGGAGAGAAUGAUUCAAGAGCCCGAGAGCAGGAAGUUUAUUGGAAAACCUUUGAAAAGUGGUAUUAUGUGGGAUUGAUUUUUGUGUGUGUGUGUGUUUUGGUUCAGUAACCGGUGAGGUGUCUAAUGUUGGGGUUGUGGGCAGACAAGUUAGGACCAAGGAGGUUUCGACUUCGCUUGAAAAACACCAUAUGGUAGUAGGAAGAGUUAAUUGGGUUUAUGACUUGGGAUUGAUGUGUGGUAGUAGUUUUGUAUCGUUAUGUUGUUAGUUGAUGAGAGGAGCGUCGAUUAGGCCCUUCGAGUGGCGUAGGAAAGUGGAUAUAUGCAGGGUCAGAGUGUUGGGCAACCGAAGUAACGACAGUAGUGUCGAUCGGUCAUCGGGAGCAUUCCAGUCAUGAGCUGAAGGCCAAGGAGGGCAUACCAGACUCAUGCUGUGGGCACAGAGGCAGUCCAGACCUAUGUUGAGGACCACGUAAGGGUAUUCCAGUGAUAGGCUGUGGGCAUAGAGAUUGUGUUGGUUAUGACUGUUGUAGGAGCGCGUUCGAGUUGGAUGUAUUGUUGAAGAUUCGGGGGAGUUGCACUAGGUUGUGACGAGUCCGAGGAUGGUGGAUGAGACGCAAGGAUAGAUCCUUGGAUAUCCGGUUAUGAGUAGACCCAAAUUAUGUUCGUGGAGAUUUUCCAAUCUAGGGUAUUGCAUCCUGAAGAUGACUGGACCAUAUGAUGGACUGGAUUUGAUAUGUAUGGUAUUCCAACCUGGGGGUUGAUUGGGUUAAACAUGUGAGGGAUACGAGGAUAUUCCCUCCUAAGGAUGAUUGGAGUCGUCGUAGGCGCGCCUGGUAUUCCAGCAUAAGGCUGUUUCGGCCAGGCAGGAGUGUUCGUAUUCAUUAGUGGAUCAAUUAUGUAUGAUAUUCUGAGAACCGAGGGAUGCAUUAUCAUGUCAGCGAAGAGGGUUCGCUCCAGGAAAAAGGGAAAGUUGGUUUCUGAUACUUUAGACCAUCAGAAUGUUGUCAAGUUGGCAAGGUAGCAUGAAGAAUAGACCUUAUGAAAAGGUUCGAUUGGGAUUCACAUCACCUUUCACUAUUCGCACUUGCGAAUGUGCGUCAUGGAUCAGGAGGCGGUAGUAUCGUUGGAUGACAUUCAGGUCAGUGAGCACCUGGAUUUCGUGGAGAGGCAUGUGGCCAUUUUGGAGAGAAGGGUGAAGGUUUUGCGGGACAAGGAGGUACCUUUGGUGAGCGUAUAGUGGAAGUACCAAAACGGGUCCAAGUGGGCGUGGGAGCCGGAGGCAGAGUGCGAGAACACGAACCGAGGAUGUUCACCGCAACAGACUUCAAGGACGACAUCUAGUUCAAGUGAGGGAGAAUAUUAAUGCCCCGGUUCUCGAAUACCAAUUUAUGGUUAUAAAUUCUCAUGAAUUCAAGGUCUACUUGACGAGUUGGUUGCCUGAAUCAUCGACUAGCAGUGGGUCUACGCCACAUGUUUAAAUGACCAACUUGCCGAGUCGGAAAAGUGACUCAACGAGUUGGAACUGCAGGGUGAAACCCUAAUUUCCGGGGUUUGGCACCCUAUUUAAGGGACCAUUAGCUUCCCUUAGUUCCUUUGCAGCCUCUUGAGAGUCCAGAAACCCAAGUUCGUGUGAGUGUGCUCCAUUUGUGUGUUUUAAAGAGUUGGAAGGUGUACAUUUGUAAGAAGAACUUGAAGCGCAAGUGACUAGGAGCAAAGGACUUGUGGGGAUCUGAUACCUACCUCAGAUGGCAUCUCUUGGAAGGUAUCAAUUCGUUACCUUGACCUCAUUUCAUUCUAGAUCUCAUUGAUUAAAAUUUUUGGGUUUUUCUAGCAUAUUGUGAAGCUAUUUUUGGGUUUGAGCUCAAAUCUGAAGUUGUAACUUUAGAUCUGAACUCUCCAUGGUCUCUAAAUCUAUAAAGCUAUCAGCUUUAGCAAGCAUGAACCCCUCCUUAUGUGUAAAACCCCAUUUCAAGCUUGGUUUUGGCAUUUUGAGUCAAUAGAUCCUUGCAUGCAAAUAAGUUUGCAACUUUACAUGAUAAGCAUGCCUUGGGAAGUUGGAUCUGUAGUAUGGAGCCUUAGCAUGCCUUAAAAAGCAUCUGUAUGGAUGAAGGACUGAAGGGAAUCGACAAGUCGCAUGGUAGACUCGGCGAGUCAUAUGAAGAUGGUGAUGAACUCGACGGGUUGGAUGAACAACUCGGCGAGACCGACGAAGAUUGCCUUGGGCUCGGCGAGUGGCAUGGUGACACGACGAGUUGGCAGGUUAUGCUAGGAACUCAGCGAGUAGCUGAAGGUACUUGACGAGUUGAGGUCAACAUGGAUUGUUGACCUUGAUAGUUGACUUUGACUUUGACCAAGGGUUGACCGUUUUGACUUUUGAGGAUAACUAGUAAGCGGGUAUUUAUGAAUUGGAUCUUUGAUGGUUAUAGGUGUUGGAGUUUGGGGCAGUAUUUCGGGAGCGUGAUUUUGUGGUUCAGUCCGACAUUGCAAUGUUAGUUGUCCUCAUUGUACUCAAGGGUCUAAGGCACCAAGGCCGACCCUUUGUUUGUUACUAGGAUUAUUACUAUUCUGAUAUGUUAUUUCAGUAACCUAGUAGAUGGGAUGGUUAUAUGCUAGUAUGAUCUGUUAGAUCGGUAUCCUGGUAGAUCGGAGGUGGUUAUGCUUAGUGACCCAUAGUUGGUCCGACUGUCUACAUGCUAGUUGUUAUGCCAGUUGGGUAGAACUGUAGGACUACCUGUAGUAUUAUUUGAUUAUCUGUAUAUGCAUUAGUUGUGUUAUAUGUCGACAUAUUAUGUGGGAUGGGGUGAGGUGAAACUGCUCCGUUCGGUAAGCAACAAACCCAGGAGCAUUCCAGAUACGAGCUGAGGGAGACUCGUGCUGUGGGCUCGAUUGCAAUCCAGAUGUGAGCUAUGGGCUCGAAAGGCAAUCCAGACUCACACUGUGGGCCCAAGGGUAAUCCAGUUUGUAAGGUUGUGGACCCAGUACAUGCUGUUAGUUGUAUAUGCGUUAUGUGAAGUGUAUCGGUAUGUUGGCAUUCCAACCUAAUGGUUGAGGGCUUGGGGUAUUCCAUCCCAAUGGAUGAUUGGACCCAUAGUAUGUUGUUGUUAUUGUAUGUGUAUUGUGGUAUGUAUGGGUAUUUUGGGGGUAACUCACUAAGCUUUCGGGCUUACAGUUUCAGUUUAUCGUUUUAGGUUCAACGUAUGGCCGCGGGUAGGCAAAGGCGUGACUGUACACUUCCUCGAUUGAUGAUUAUCAUUUUUGGGAACUCUGAUGUUUACAAUAUUUUGAAAAAAAAAUUGUAAUAAUUGAAUGAUUUUGAAUGAUUUAAAAAGUUUUAAAUCGGCUCGAAUUUUUUGGGGGUUAGAAUCGCAGGAAAGAGUAGGUGUGACCGUACACAUCCUCACAUGUUACGAUUUGGAUUUCUGGGAUACUCUGAUGUUUAGAAUAUUUUGAAAACAAUUUUUUAUUACAUAGCGGUUUUUAGAUGUUUGAAAAUGUUGAAAUUUUUGUGAAUUUUUAUGGAUGUUACAAUACUUUUAUAUGUAUUCAGUUUUACACUUUUUAAAUAUUUCUUUCACUAAUCAUUUUUUUGCAGAAAUAUUUUGAUAUUUAUAGAUUUUGCAACAAACUUUAUUGGGAAGACAUUUGAUUAGGUGUCAAUGAUGAUUGUUGAAGAGCGUAUAAAGAACGCAAAUAAUAUGUGAAAGUACAUUUCAACGUGGUCGAUGGAUAUGGGGACGUAGAAACUGCAAUAAGACAUCCACUGAGGGGUAUGAACGACAACAGUUGGAAUCAAAUCAUUGAUGAGUUAUUUUUAACCCAUGCUUAUGUGCGUUUGUCGGCAAAAAAUAUAAAUAAUGGGUCGCUACUUCCGCAUUGAUAGGUCGUUAUAUAGUGGUUUAGGCUAGGCAUAUGUCUUGUAAUUGGUCUUGUUAGGGUCUUGGUGUUAGUUGUGGUUGUUGUAACUGUUGUAUGGCUGUCUGCGGCCAUACACGUGUGUGCGGCCGUACACCCUGUGUGUGGCUGUGCACCCGUGUGCUGCUGGGGUGAUAUAAAUAGUAGGUGUCUGUGUCAGUGUCAGGUGACGUAUGUCCGUAUCUCCCAAGGUGUAUUUGACGUUUAUGUGAUAUAAAUGUGUGCAUGCUUGGCUUAAUUAGUCUUCUACUCACUUCUACACUCUGAAUUGUUUGCAAUAUCAUUUGAUCACUGAUUCAAAUCGUAAAUUUUGGGUCUAACAAUUGGUAUAAGAGCAGGAUCAUUGUCAAUUUGGAUUUUUGUCAGUGUACGGUUGAGCUACGUUGAAGGUGUACGGUUGAAGGAGUACGGUUGAACGUGUACGGUUGAGCGUGUAUGGUUGGGUGUAUGGUUGGGUGUAUGGUUGGAGUGUGUACGGUUUGGUGUAUGGUUGGAACGUGUACGAUUGUGUGUACAGCUAAGUAUGCGGCUAUGUGUGUACGGUUGGAGCGUGUAUGGAUUAGUGUGCAGUUGUGAGCAUGUACGGUUGAGUGUGCGGUCACAAACUCCUUAGCAUAUUGAGCAUCCUAAUUGUAAGCAUUUUUCUUGUUAAAGUUUUCGAUCUGUUUAUUUCUAAAAAGCAAGAAAGAAUGGACUCCCACAUCUCAUCAGGUCAUCAUGAAUUGGACACCACAAUGGGAACCACCACUCGAAUUCCUUGGUUGUUAUCCGCCGAAGGAUUUCUAGAAUGGAAGUACCGAAUUGAGAAAUACAUCAAAAUGAAAGAUUUUAAGGUUUGGCGAAGCAUUCUCAAAGGACCAGUCAGAGUCACUACUAAUCUUUCGAAUGGACAAGUGAUUGACAAAUUGUAUGCUGAUUACACGGAUGAGGAUUUCAAAAUGGUUGAAGAACAGGAAAGGGAACUGGCUACUUGACUAUGGCUUUAUCCCUCGAUAUUGCUCAAGGAUUCAGAGAAUACACUUCAGCCAAAGCUCUGUGGGAAGCUUUGAUUGAGGUCUACGAGGGAAAUGAAGAUAUGAAAGAGAGCCGUCAGGACAUGUUAAGACAGAAGUUCAAUAUGUUCAAUUAUGUCCCUGGAGAAACCUUGGAAGCUCAAUUGCAGCAAUUUACUGCACUCACUAUUGAGAUGAGCAUAGCUGAGAUUUACUUUACUAGAUCUGAGAUAAACAAAAAUUUUUUGAAUUCACUUCCGAAGUCAUGGGAUAUGAAUGUGGCUGUCAUCAAGAAAACAAAAGAUCUCAAUCGUCUCAGUCUUGCUGGAACAAUGGCAAUCAUCAAAUCCUGUGAUCUUGAUGAUAAACAACGAGAGAUUAAUCAUGUGAAUUCCUACUCGACUGGAAAUUUUGGGAUUUCUUCGAAUAAUGCCUUUUCAUGUUUCACCUCCUCUCCAAGUCAAGCUUUUGCUGUUCAACAACCUCAGAAUCAAACCUUUAUCACUCCAUCAGUUACACCAUUUGUUGGUUCUUCAUCUAUGUCUCACCCCACAAAGUUAGUCCUUCGUUGUUCCACAAGUUCUUUCCUCCUCCAAUGCACCAUUUAUGGUCCCUGCUCCCAAUUCCAAAGAAAACGAUGAAAACUUAGCUCUUGCCACUGGACUUGUCAAUUGUUACAAUGCUUUUAUAGCUAGAGAGCUUCCACCUCAACUCACUUUUGAUAAUCUAAAUCAAAUUCAUGCAGAGGAUGUGGAAGAAAUGAAUAUUACCUUGCAGAUAGCAAUGGCAGUGUUCAGGGCAAAGCAAUUUGCUAAGAAGACGGGAAAGAAUAAUUUGGGAAUGAAUGCGGAUAAGAAGGUAGGGUUUAACAAGGGAAAUCUGUGUUGCUACAAUUGUCACGAGCCGGGUCAUUUUGCUCAUGAGUGUCCUAAACAAGACAGAAGGGUCAAUAGUGAUCGAACAAUGGUUCCAUAGGGAAAUAGUCGUGGAAAUGUUGCUGUCAACGGUGAGACUGCAAAUCUAGCAGUGGUUGCUCAGUCUUUUGACUGGGAGAACCAGAUUCAGGCACUAAAUAUUUCAGGACCUAAAAAUGCUCACCUGGCUCAAAUCAAUGAUACUCCUAUGGAAGAAGCUGAACUUGAUCCUAAAGAAGAGUUGAUGGAGUUGCAGUUUGCCUUUAUGGUAUCUUCUACUUCCGAACCUGAAAAGAAAGAGGUAAGUAGUCUUCUUGUUCUCAAACAUGCAUUGAUAAAGUUAAAAAUCUUCUUGAGCAUAUUAUGAAGAGAGAACGAGGACUUAAAAUAUGAAAGUUAUCAACUUAGGAAAGGACAAAAACCCAUGAAGGCUGAAUUAGAAGCAAAAACCAAAGAUUUUAGAAAACUUCAGGCAGAAUAUUGCAAUAAGAGUGCGUGUUAUAGAUAUGUAACUUAAAAACUUGCUGAGGCAACUGCAAAGCUUGACACACUGAAAAAAAAAUUUGAAUAUGCAGAUUUUAAUUUCAGAAAAUAUGAUGUGUCAAGUGAAGUAGUUAAAUCCAUGAUAGAACAUAAUUUGAAAUUCAAAGAAAAUCAGCAAAAGGGUUUAGGAUACGACAAAGUGCCUCCUCCUUAUAAUCAUAAAUAUCAUUUUAAGCCAUUGACUGAAGAGGAGAUAAACUGAGAGCCAUUUCUUAAAUAAGGAUUUGUGUCAGGAGGUAGCAUUAAUGUUGAAAAUAUUAAUGUUUCUACUUCCGAUGUAGAUCAAUCCCUAAGUCAAUCAAAGCGAGAAGCUGAAGGAUGUGUUUCUAAAAAUGAAAAAGUUUCUGAAUUUGUUGCUGUUUCAAAUGGUAACUCUUUUGUUUCUGAUGUUAAAAUUAUUGAUACAUCUUGUGAUACUCCUACUUCGGUUAAUGUUGAUUUAAAUUUCUUUGACAUAUUUGAUGUUCUUGUUCCAAGCAUAUCCACACCACCAAUCACACAACCAGAUUCAUCCUCACCUAUCACUCAAUCUGAUUCUUGCACAUGUUCUUGUGCAGAAAGUAAGGGUGUCAGUAAAGAAAGCAAAUCAGACAAAGUCAGUACCAGUUACAAUAAUAAUAAGCAUAUUUGUUUUAACUGUGGUACUGUCAAUCACAUUGCUUGAAAUUGAUCAAAUAGAUCAUUUGUGCAUUUUUCGUCUCAAAGAGGAGAGAAUGAAUCUCGAGGAAGGUCUUUAACUAGAAAGUCCUCGAGAUCUCGUCCUCGAAAUGAUGAUUGGAAGGCUUUCAAAACAAGAAAAGGGCAGUUUUUCAAAAGAACAAACAGGUUUUCAACAACAAAGUCACAAACAGUUUUCCAAAAUAAAUCAAGGCUAAGCCAAGAUCAGUUUCGCCAAAGAGUGGAUUUGGAUCUUCAACCUCUUUUGGUAGAAAAUCUAACUUCUCAAAGCAAACUGAAAAGAAAAAUGUCUCAAAAUCACCCGUGAUUUUUAAGAAACCUAAAUACCAGUAGGUGCCCAAAUCAACUUCCAACCAAUAAUCAUCAUCCUCUGAGAGUGCUUUGAACAACGAUUCAAAAUCAAAAAGUUCAAAAGAUAAGUCUUUGAUCGUAAAAGGUCAACCCAGGAAAGCUAUGACCUGGGUUCCGAAAUCUAAAUGAUCCCGCUCAUUUGCAGGGACAGUUGCGGAGGAAUGUCGUCAGACAUUGGUAUGUCGACAGCGGCUGCUCCCGGCAUAUAACAGGAGACAUCUUCAAAUCGAACGACAUUCAAACCUUUAACAGGGGAUUUGUUUCCUUUGCGGGCGGAGAAGGCGGAAAAAAAUACACAAACAAGAACUGUGAUGAACGUAUUGCUGAGUUUUGAGAACGUCAACUAUGCUCCCGAGUUAAAGUAUAGCUUGUCAGUGUAUCUCAGAUUUGCGACAAGGGUUAUUCAACACACUUUACUGAUAAAGAGUGUUUGAUCUUAAAGGCUGGCAUUGUCAUCCCGGAUGAGUGGAUGGAUUAUUUUCAAAUCAAAGCGGGAUGGAAAUGCUUAUAUCAUUGACAUGAACAUCAACAUUCCUGAACAAGUCACCUGUCUCUUUUCUAAGGUCUCGGAACAAAAUGCUAUGUUGUGGCACCGACGACUUGGUCAUGCGAACGCUAAGAAUCUAAAUCGUCUUGCUAAACAUGAAAUGGUGUAUGGCCUGCCCGUCAGAGACUUUAUAACAUUCAAAAAGUGUGUGUCAUGUGCCAAGGGAAAGCAACAUAGAAAACCACACCUGCCAAAAAAGGUCAAUUCAAUCAACCAGGUGCUCCAAUUGUUACACAUCGAUCUAUUUGGUCCGUUCAAUGUCCUAAGCAUCAACAAGAAUUCAUACUCUCUUGUUGUGAUCGAUGACUUCUCGUGUUUCACAUGGGUUUUCUUCUUAUCCAACAAAGCUGGUGUAUCUGAUCUGAUCAAGAAGUUCAUCGUAAUGAUUGAGAACCAAACCAAUAAGUGGGUGAAGGCGCUUCGUACUGAUAAUGGAACAGAAUUCAAGAAUGCGGUUCUUGAUCAGUUAUGCGCAGAAAAGGGAAUUGUGUGUCAAUAUAGUUCCGAUCGCAUGCCUCAUCAAAACGGUGUUGUUGAACGGAGGAAUCAAACACUACAAGGCGCUGCGAGGACGAUGAUGUGUGACUCCAAACUACCUGUUUUCUUUUGGGCUGAGGCGAACAACACCGCUUGUUAUGUUCAGAAUUGUGUUUUGUUCAACAAAGCCCAAAUGAAGACUCCAUACGAAAUUCUAUAUGGUGACAAGCCAUCUGUCAGCCAUUUCCGCGUAUUUGGCUUCCCUUGUACCCUUCUUCACCUGGAGACCAACCCGAAGUUUAAUACCAAAGCUGAUGACUGCUAUUUUGUGGGGUAUGCUUCUCGCACUGCGUACCGAGUCUACAAAAAAAGAUCAAAGAAAAUUGUAGAAUCCUUCGAUGUCCGUUGGCUGGAGGAAAAUGAAACGGAUGCUGGAGUGGGUCCUGAUUGGCUGUUUGACUACACAUCAUUGUUCAAAUCGUUCAAUGUGUGUUCAGAUAGUUUAUAUGGUUCUACUUCCGGUUCGAAGAGUGUACUUGAAGAUGAAUACGAAGAAGUUGUUACAGUACGCCGAUAGUGUCUUCUGGAAUUUCUGCGGUGGAGUCAUUUGUUCCAAUUACCUGUCCAGAAUCUCCAAGUCAACAAAAUGCUCCAGAUACUGAUGCUACACCUCUAACUCAUGAUGAAAAAGAUUUCAUGUCCAAAGAUGCUUCCUCUAUUACUCAAACUUUUAUGGAACUUCUCUUUCCUAAGGAAAUUGCAAAUGAGUUUGUGGCGGAUCCUAGUAAUGAGACUGGUUCAUCUGAAGUGGAUCAUUCGGCAAAUGAUGGAGUUAUUAACAUUCAAUCAGCCAGGAGAUACCUUCACGCAUUCAAUGAAAUCAUCCGAUCGAUAAUGUCAUUGGCCAGCUGGGUGAUCGUGUUAGAACAAGAAGCCUGAGUGGAGAUGUUGAGAGAAAAACUUGAGACACACUUGAACAAACGUUAGAACAAGUAUAGUUGCGGAAUAGUGAAUAGUUAAUCUCAAAGGAUCUAAAAGCUCAACAAUAAUAAGUCAAUGAGUUAGAUAGUUAGAUAGUUAGUUGCGGAAAUGUAAGGAAGCAUAAAUGACAGCAGGUGAUAUAUCAUAUAAGCACAUAAGUUGAUUCAUAACAUGGAAUGCAUUCAAACCAAGUUAGUGAGUGAGAUCAAACUUAGUGAUAAAGUCACGAAUGACUUCCUCCGAAGAGAAGUAAUUAUCAGUUAGGUUCGAGAGGAUUUAGAGAGUAAGAAAGAGAUGAGAUGUGUAAGAGAAAUAUACCUGAAGAUAGUUAAGAUGGAUAGAUGUGACAGAUUGAUUAUAAACUGAGAACGAAUGAGCUCUACAUAUAGAGACUCAAGAAUUAGAUUUAAUCCACUCUCUAAGAGUAGCCAUGCAAGGCAUACUGGACAAUAGAGAGUAUUAUAGAAAAGAUAGAUAAUAUUAAACUAAGUAAACUAAGUAAGAUUGUGGUUGGAUAGAUGACUUCGGAUGAGGCUGCUGAUGAGGGCUUGACUGCGAAUCCUUGUGGGCUGCGUAGACUAAGUUAAGAGGGUCACUUCAUGUUUCAACAAUUUCCCCUUAAUCGACCUCUUUAAAUUUUAUUCAUCUAUCAAGUUUUAGGAACUUGAUUAAAAUCCACCAAAACUUUCUGAUAUUCUCUAACCAGGUGAUCCUUCUCAAAAUCUCGAACUUUACUUCGGCAGUCGUGUGUUUAGAUUUUUCUACUGCGGUUCGACAGAUUUCAAGUUGCUUCCUUGUAAGUCGAUUCAUGGAGGUCACCAGAAUGAAGUAUUUGAUCUGAUCGACCUUCCUUUUGAAGAUGACUCCAAGUUCAGGGAAGUUUGUUGCACUUAGGGAUCUUUCUUGAUAACCUUCGGUAGGCAUCAGUGCACGAUCUAGUGGUGGUAGAUCAAAUUUCUUGGCAAUUGAUGGGUGGAUGUCCACAUCAAUCUUUGCAAAAUCGCAGACGGUUUCCUUCAGAAAAAUACUUGCCCUUUCAAGUGCUAUCUUCAUAUUUGGAUAUUUUUUACACUUGUUUUCGAACACCUUUGCUAUCAGAAAGACUUCUUCUGGUUUCAUACAUGGGAAGUCAGCUUGGGUGCAGACAUAGUCCUGAUUUCUUCUUGUAAGGGUGUAUUGAAUGAAGUCAGCCUUCAUGAAUUUCCGAGGUUUAAAGUUCUUGACUAUUGAUGGUCUAUCGUUAGACCAGAUUUUCUUUAAGGAAGAAGCAUGUUUGGCAUGAAAGCGAUUGAAUCUCUCGAAUUCCAUAGGCAUUCUUUGGUGAUCCAGUAGGCUACGGUCCAAUUGCUCAAAUACAGUGAAGUAUUUAGUGUUUGGGGAGAUAUGGUUUGUAGUCAUCAUACAACAGUCUGCGGUGGGGAUUUAUCCAAGAGUUUAUCAAGGAUUCAUCCAUGACAGUGUUGAAACCGCAUUCUCUCCAUAUGAGUUCGGUGAACAUAGCUGCUUUCCAUUCAUAUUUCUUUUGUUUUGUGACGGGAGAGUCAUUUGAAUUUGGAGAUGACAUAUCAGGAGCUAAAUUUUUGAAGUGACGGGAGUCUCAGGUCGUUCCGGAGAAAUUCUUUGUUGAGAGGGAGAGGGAUAUUGCGGUGGUGUUUGGUGAAUAGAUGGUUGCGGUGAGGGAAGGUUUUCUGUUAUGAUGGGAGGGCUUCUAUGAGGAGAAGCAUUGUUUGAGUUAUGUUCUUCUUAAUGUUGUUCUAAUUCAUGAUGGUCUUCUUCACUUCCCCCUCUUGAGGAGUUUAGCCCUGGAGCCUCCUCAAGCAUUUGUUUGAAACCAUCGACCUUGGCACAGACCUUCUGGAAAUGAGCUUUGAGAACAUCAGCCAGUUGCUGAUUGUCAGGGCUGGUGGUGUUGAAGAGUAGUCGAAGAAUCUCCUUUGUCAGUUGGAGAAUUUUAUGACCAUGGAAAUUUGAAGAUAGGGAUCGUUGGAGUCUAUUCAUGGUUGCAUGAAGGACUGAGAUAGUGGACUCAUAAGCAAUGUGAGUCUCAGUUAUCAGUUUCUGGGAAAAUGAGGAUUGGCCCGCAAUGGUUGUUUGCAGAUUGUCUUUGAUUGCAGAUACCUCAGAGAUGAGGCGCUGCACAUCAGCCAUGAAUUCCUUGUGAUCUGCUUGGCGAUUGUUGUCGAGGGACCGAAUUCCCAUUUCUACUUUGAGAGAAAUUCUCUCAGCAUCUAGACGUUCCCUAGUCUCCAAUAUUUCAAUCCUUUCGAUCAAGGACUGAGGUACCAGAUAUUCUUAUGAUUGCGGUUGAGUUGACUUGACUGCGGUAAGAAUUUGAUCUACUUUGGAUUGUAGACUUAAGAACUCUUUUCUUGAAAUGACCAUCUUCUUCUUUUUAUUUUUCUCCUUGGGCUUAGAGGUUGAGUGUUGAGAACCACUCAAUUCCUCUUCUUCAUCAAACAUCAUGAGGUCAUCAUCCGAAGGACUGGGCUGAUUAACCUCAUUUAAAUCAACGUCAUCAAAACCGAAGGUGGGAGCAGAGUUGACUUCUAAUGUGGUACCUUCGUCAUCAAAAUUUUUACCAGUUGGAGUUGGAGGGGGCUUAGAAGGAGUUUGAUCAGCAGUUACAACUUGAGCGUUGCGAAUUAUGUCAGCCAUUCCAUCCAUCAAAGCUUGAACUUUGCAGAUUGUAGAUACGGUAUUGGCAUUAUUGAUGGCGUCUGCCCAAUACUUUGCUACAUACUAGAUUUCUUGUUGUUUCUGUUGAAGUUGCUUUGUUUGUCGUGCCUUUCUUGCUUGGAAUGCCCUACGGAAAGUGGCAUAUUUCUUGGCUUCGGCUUCAUUUGAUGGUUGAUAAUUUCUCCAUGAAUUAUUGAGGUCAAUUUCGUCAAUUCCUUGGUAUCGCACCAAGGUGUCCCUCGGGUUCACGGAUCCUUGAACAUUGGUGCUCACCGUGCCUAAACCACCUGUUACAGAUGUAAGCAGAGUAGGUUUUCCUGAGCUUCCUCGGUCUCCUUGACCUAACGUCAAGUCUGGCCUCGGCUUAGUUCUCGCAAAGGCUGAAGAAUCGCAUUGCGAUUGGGAAGGUGUUUGAAGUGUUUGGAUAACAGAAAAAAGUAUGGAGUUCAACUCCUCUAGGGAAAGGAAGUGUAGACCGGAAGCCCUGGAGACCUUAGGGCAGGAACCAGUUCCAUCCUCUUGGGAGUGAACCAGGGGUGAGUCUCCACGUUGUGGUGAAACAUACUCACUUUUUGAUUCUGAGUGGUAUUCGAUAAUGGCAUUGAAUGGGUGUGCGGUCACCCCAAGGACUACCGGAGCCUUUAGAGAGGCUGAGGUAUCAGUCCGGUAACACAUUUGGUNGAGAACAUCAGCCAGUUGCUGAUUGUCAGGGCUGGUGGUGUUGAAGAGUAGUCGAAGAAUCUCCUUUGUCAGUUGGAGAAUUUUAUGACCAUGGAAAUUUGAAGAUAGGGAUCGUUGGAGUCUAUUCAUGGUUGCAUGAAGGACUGAGAUAGUGGACUCAUAAGCAAUGUGAGUCUCAGUUAUCAGUUUCUGGGAAAAUGAGGAUUGGCCCGCAAUGGUUGUUUGCAGAUUGUCUUUGAUUGCAGAUACCUCAGAGAUGAGGCGCUGCACAUCAGCCAUGAAUUCCUUGUGAUCUGCUUGGCGAUUGUUGUCGAGGGACCGAAUUCCCAUUUCUACUUUGAGAGAAAUUCUCUCAGCAUCUAGACGUUCCCUAGUCUCCAAUAUUUCAAUCCUUUCGAUCAAGGACUGAGGUACCAGAUAUUCUUAUGAUUGCGGUUGAGUUGACUUGACUGCGGUAAGAAUUUGAUCUACUUUGGAUUGUAGACUUAAGAACUCUUUUCUUGAAAUGACCAUCUUCUUCUUUUUAUUUUUCUCCUUGGGCUUAGAGGUUGAGUGUUGAGAACCACUCAAUUCCUCUUCUUCAUCAAACAUCAUGAGGUCAUCAUCCGAAGGACUGGGCUGAUUAACCUCAUUUAAAUCAACGUCAUCAAAACCGAAGGUGGGAGCAGAGUUGACUUCUAAUGUGGUACCUUCGUCAUCAAAAUUUUUACCAGUUGGAGUUGGAGGGGGCUUAGAAGGAGUUUGAUCAGCAGUUACAACUUGAGCGUUGCGAAUUAUGUCAGCCAUUCCAUCCAUCAAAGCUUGAACUUUGCAGAUUGUAGAUACGGUAUUGGCAUUAUUGAUGGCGUCUGCCCAAUACUUUGCUACAUACUAGAUUUCUUGUUGUUUCUGUUGAAGUUGCUUUGUUUGUCGUGCCUUUCUUGCUUGGAAUGCCCUACGGAAAGUGGCAUAUUUCUUGGCUUCGGCUUCAUUUGAUGGUUGAUAAUUUCUCCAUGAAUUAUUGAGGUCAAUUUCGUCAAUUCCUUGGUAUCGCACCAAGGUGUCCCUCGGGUUCACGGAUCCUUGAACAUUGGUGCUCACCGUGCCUAAACCACCUGUUACAGAUGUAAGCAGAGUAGGUUUUCCUGAGCUUCCUCGGUCUCCUUGACCUAACGUCAAGUCUGGCCUCGGCUUAGUUCUCGCAAAGGCUGAAGAAUCGCAUUGCGAUUGGGAAGGUGUUUGAAGUGUUUGGAUAACAGAAAAAAGUAUGGAGUUCAACUCCUCUAGGGAAAGGAAGUGUAGACCGGAAGCCCUGGAGACCUUAGGGCAGGAACCAGUUCCAUCCUCUUGGGAGUGAACCAGGGGUGAGUCUCCACGUUGUGGUGAAACAUACUCACUUUUUGAUUCUGAGUGGUAUUCGAUAAUGGCAUUGAAUGGGUGUGCGGUCACCCCAAGGACUACCGGAGCCUUUAGAGAGGCUGAGGUAUCAGUCCGGUAACACAUUUGGUCUGUGGGACUGGUUUUUCUUUUCUUGAGGAUCAAAAUGGGUUGAUCGUCCUCAUCAGAAUCACUACUAGAGGGAGAUUGAUGUUUGCUUGGUUCGACAUUUGUUAGCACAUGUGGGGUGAUUUUCCUUUUCUUUUAAGGAUUGGCUUGUUUGGGAGCAUCCUUUUUCUUAGGAGUGCCUUGUUUAUUGGUGUUGCGGGGGCCUUGACGAGUUGAGGCUAAUUGCUUGCGUCUUUGUGAUAAAGAUAGGUUGGAUAAGGUGGUGGAGGAUGGGACUGCGGUACUACAAGGGGCAAUGAUUGCGAAUGGGGUUUGUAGAGGCGGGGUAGGAAGGGUUGGGCCAAUACCUUCCAUAGCCUAAAUAUUGUCUGAGACAUCAGCAGUUUCAAGAUUAAGAGUAGAGAGAAUGUGGACUGGUAGUCUUCUAAUGGGUCCAAAAAACAGAUUGAUCAGAUGAGGGGUUGUACCUUUUGAGGUCUUUGGUUACAAAAAGAUUUAUGUCGCUGCCCAUGCUAAGUCCUGCAUCCGCAUGGAGAUCUAAGAUGCAUAGAGACCAGAACCUUGCAAACGUGAGUUCGGUAGGGUUCUCUCUUGGGCUUUCCUUUGGAAUAUAUUGUAAGAAGUCGUCCCAUAGUAUCUGACCAUAGUUGAUGUCAUGGACAGUGAAGAUACUCCACACUAACUCUAGGAGCUUGAGUCCCAUAUUAUUCGUGCCUCCGGUUUUUCCGUACAGAGUGCGGAUCAUAAAGUGGCAAACAAAUUGCCAAACCACAGGCAAGUGAUUUUUCUUGAAUUCUCUAAUUACUUUGAUCUUCUUUUGAUAACCCAUCUGGUAAAGUUCAGAAAGGAUGUCCACCAUGCUUGGAGUGAAAUCCUUGAUUAAAGGAUGAACAAGGAGGUUGAUGGAAGUGAGAAACUUUUCUUUAUUCAUAAUGACCAAAGAAUCGUUAACUAGGUUUAAAUGAAUUUCUUGAGGAUUCUCGAGUGAUCGAUAUGCUGAGAAGACUUAAUUGAAUAGGGUUGAAAAAGGAACAACAUCUAUGAACGAAUCAAACGGUCCAAACAGCGGGUGUUGGACAUAAACUUGAUCAUCAACUUGGUAGGAGAAUUAUAGAAGGAAUGCUCUUCAAACACAGCCCUAAAAUUGCUUGAAGCAAUCGUUGGCGUUGGGUGUCUUGAGGCAGAGUCUGAACCAGUAGGGUUUGCUGAUCCGAAUGCCUUGGAGUGUUUCUUGGAGAUGUCUGAUUUCACCAUUGUAGGAAGUUUGAAGACACUUUGAAAGAGAAAAAACAGAGUGCAAGCAAAAGGUUUGAAGUUAAGAAAGCGUAAAAUUUUCUUGAGGAAAAAGAAGGGCAUUUUAUAGUGGCUUAUUGGAGCAGGAAACGAUUUUACCCUACGUGAAUUUGGGUAAAAUGUUUGGGUGUUUUUUGUAGAUUAAGAGAGAUAAUCUCAACCACAGAUUAAGAAAAGGUUUUAAUCUACAUUUUUAGAUUUACCAAAAGGGGUUAGCAUUUAAUGAAACGUCAGACUUCAAUACCACAUCUGAAGAACGUGCGGUGAGGGAGGGUGUAAUAUGUUGGUUAAAAGGGAAGUUGUAACGGAUUAGACAUUUUGGGGUAAUAGGAAGAGACAGAUUAAAAGGAUUUGAUUUUAGGAAAUCUCUCUUUUUGUCAUCAUACCUAAAAUAGGUCUGACAAAAGAUUUAUUCAAAAAGAAUGGGACAGUUACACAAAGAAUGUUUUUUUAAUGUUUUCCCUAUUUAAUGAAGGAUCAUUAAAUAACACACCAUGUUUUUUUUUAAAUGUAACAGGUUGAAAAUAAAUUAUGGUGACUGCAGAUUGAGAAAGUGACUGCAGAUUGAAACAUCAUUGCGGAUAAAUCAUUUGUUGUCAUAUGGAUGACUGCGGUAGAAGAACUAAGAGGAUCACUUGAACAAAGAUUAGUAAAAACAAACAGUAAUGACCAUUGAAGUAUAAGUAUGAUAUAUGGUUGCGGUACAUAGGAUAUAUCAAAACCAUCUAUCAUACAUAACUUCAACUAGGACCGCAACAGCGACCAAGGAUGGUCUGCGGUACCUAUCAAUUCAAAAAGAAUUGUGGGUCCGGAUUCAUCAUUCCUAACAUUUUUAAGAAACUAUUGAGUUUUGUAGAGUCAAGUGCUUUUGUGAAUACAUCAGCAAUCUCUUCAUGAGUACGGACAAAAAUGAGUUCAAUGUUACCUUUUAGGAUGUGGUCUUUGAUGAAGUGAUAUCGUAGUUCAAUAUCCUUGGUCUUGGAGUGCUGAAUUGGAUUGUGAGAAAUCGCUAUAUCACUUUCAGAGUCACAAUAGAUUGGUAUCCGCAUCAUUCUGUAUCCGUAUUCCAAUAGUUGUGUUUUCAUCCAUUAUACUUGUGAACAACAGCAGGCUGCAGCCACAUAUUCAGCUUCUGCGGUAGACAGUGAUACACAGUUUUGUUUUCUUGAUGACCAGUUGACGAGUCUUCCACCGAGAAAUUGACAUCCACCUGAGGUGCUUUUGCGAUCAAGUUUACAUCCGGCAUGAUCCGCAUCUAUGAAUGCUUGAAGGCUGAAAUCCUUUCCUACAGGGUAACAUAAUCCAAGAGUUUUGCUACCCUUUAAGUACCGUAGAAUCUGCUUGGCUACGGUCAUGUGUGACAUUUUUGGGUCAGCCUUGUACCUUGCGCAUACACCCAUUGCAAAGGCUAUAUCUGGUCGGCUUGCGGUCAGGUGCAUCAACGAGCCAAUAAUACCUCAAUAAGUCUUGUGAUCAAUAGAUUCGCCUGAGGGAUCAGCAAAUAUCUUAUAUCCGAAGGCCAUGGGGACCUUAGCCGAAGAACAAUUGUCCAUUAAAUCUUUCUUUAACAAUUCUGAGGUGUAUUUUUCUUGAUGAAUGAAUAUCCCUUAAGGGACUUGUUUCACUUGACGUCUUAGAAAGAAGUUAAUCUCUCUAUUCAUGCUCAUUUGGAACUUUUUGGUCAUGAUCUUAGAAAAUUCAUUCACCAUCUUUUUAUUAGUUGAGCCAAAAAUGAUAUCAUCCACAUAUAUUUGUACAAGCAUUAGAUGAUCACCAUUUGCUUUUCUAAAUAAAGUGGGAUCAAUCACUCCUCGUUUGUAUCCGGACGAGAAAAGAAAUUCAAAGUGAGUCUCGUACCAUGCUCUUGGGGUUUGCUUUAGACCGUAGAAUGCUUUUUCAAGCUUGUAGCAGUGGUCUGGCAAUUCAAGACUUUCGAAGCCCGGAGGUUGUUGAAGAAAAACCUCUUCUUUUUAACUCACCGUUAAGAAAAGCACUUUUUACGUCCAUUUGAUGAACCUUGAUAUUCUUGUGUGCUGCGUAUGCUAAGAAGAUCCGGAUGGCUUCCCUUCGUGCUACCGGUGCAUACGUUUCAUCAUAGUCAAUGCCUUCAAGUUGACUAUAUCCCUUGGCAACUAGUCUUUCCCUGUUUCUGACGACCGCACCAGAUUCAUCCAACUUAUUCUUGUACACCCAUCUAGUGCCAACAGUGGUGUGGCUUUGCGGUUUUAGAACGAGCUGCCAUACCUUGAUUCUUUUGAAUUCUUCGAGCUCUUCUUGCAUUGCGGAUAUCCAGUCUGGUUCGAGUAAUGAUUCUUUGAUCGUCCAUGGAUCGACCAAGGACAUAAAUGUUGUGUAGUGGCAAUGAUCGGAUAAGUCCUUGGAUGAUCGAGUCUGGAUUCCUGCGGAUGGGUUGCCGAUAAUUUGACCUGGUGGGUGGUCUCCCGUCCAUACGUGUAGACAGGGUUGCAGAUGAUCAUUAGCUGUGGUGGAGGGAAUGUCUUCAAUAUCAAAAGACUCUGCGGUUGGAUAUGACAGUUCCCCCUGGACUUGAGAACAUCCUGCUGAAUUGUCUUGAACUGGGACAGAGGGAUCAGACUUUUCUUUGGUCAGAUGGCGAAGGUUCCCCCUGGAGUGUAGAAGUGAGUUCGCCUUGAACCUGUGAAGGUUCCCACUAGAUUGCGGAUGGGAGUGUGAUAAUCCUUGAAUCUGUUCUUGUGUCAAUUUUUUCUAUGUUUUCAUCAUCCGAAUCCGAAGAAACGUUUGAUGGUUGAAACUCUCUGCGGAUUGGAGCUUUAACUUCUAGUACUGGAACCUCGAUGGUUGUUGUAUGGUCCAGAGUUGAGUUUUCCCCCUCAACCGGUGAGGUGGAAGUAUUUAGUGAUACUUCUUAGGACAAUGUUGGACCAGAUACAUCAGCAUGCUGCUGCUGAGCUUCUAGAGACACAAGAACUUCAGAUAACUUGGUUGUAUCUACCGGAUCAAAGAGAUCAUCAUAGUUUACUUCAACUAGAUUUAAUGGACCCGAAGAGGCAGGAAUAUCACUUUCUAGAAUUGUUGUGGUUUCGGUUGAUGGAGCGGUGUUGCGGAUGUGAUAGUCAUCAAAUUUCACAUCGAAACUUUCAAUUAUAAACCUUUUUCGUAUAAUGAGAAAUCGAUAAGCAACCUUGUUAGUGGAGUAGCCAAGGAAGAUCCCUUCAUCAGACUUUGGUGCGAAUUUGUUGAUGUGGUCUCUGUUGUUGAUUACAAAGCAUCUACAUCCAAAUGUAUGAAAGAAUCGGACAUUUGGCUUGCGGUUGUUAAGGCCCUCAUAUGGUGUUUUGUUGAGAAUUUUGCACACAAUGCUUCGAUUUUGUAAAAUACAAGUUGUGGCCACUGCUUCGGCCCAGAAGUAGAGUGGAAGGUGUGCAAAGUUGAGCAUAGAUCUGGCAGCUUCUACUUGAGUGUGGUUCCUUCGUUCUACUACCCCAUUUUGUUGUGGUGUGUAAGGAGCUGAGAAGUUGUGAGUAAUCCCUUUGGAAACCAAGAAAAUAUUUACAAGAUGGUUAGUAAACUCGGUUCCAUUAUCACUUCGGAUACGUAUAACUGGUAACUUGAUCUAAAGUUCAAUUUCCUUGAUGAAGUUGAUCAACACCUGCAGUGUUUCUGACUUUAGUCGAAGAAAGAAGCCCCAUAUGAAACGUGUGAAAUCAUCCACUAUAACCAGUAUGUAUUUUUUGGGAUGAAGACUGGCUAUGGUAGAUGUACCGUAGAAAUCAAUGUGUAAGAGUUCCAAUGGUUCAUAAAUUGAGGAGUCAAUCAUCGUGGGAUGACUUGCCUUGAAUUGCUUUCCACAUUCACAUGCAGGACAGAGAGUAUCAUUGCUGAACUUGAGGAUUGGAAGACCUAUGACUAGUUCGUCUGUGACCAAAUUGUUGAUGUAUCUAAAGUUGAGAUGAGCUAGCACUAGUAGAAAACUGCCCUUUAAUGACAUGAAAACAAUGACACACAGUGAUUUACGAUACGCAUUUUUGUGUGUCCUAGAAAUAAUGUCGAUUUUUAAGAAAAAUGAAGGAUAGAGGACACCUAUUCUUGCGUGCCCUAAAAUUAGUGUCCAAUAAAAAAAAUUAAAAACACGGAGGGCACCUAUGUUAAAAUGAGUGUCGUGUAGAGGUGUCGCUUUAUAUUUUAUUUAAUGAACACGCGCGUUUUGUUCAUUCACAGCUUGGGGGAAAUGAAAAUCUCAAAAGUUUGAAACGCCGCCAUUUUAUCUCUGCAUUAUUUCCAUCGUUCUUCCUCUAACUGAUCAAUACCCAGAAAACCCUAAUAUCAUAACCACUCCUCUUUUCUCGCACAACAAAAUCCCAAAACAUCACCAAAUACUAAAUUCCACGAAAUCGCUGUGACCAUUUUAGCUAGGGAUUUUUUCUAGAACGAAAACACUCUCGCAUCUCUCUUAGCUCUGAAACAAUGGACGAUUCACCUUCCUUCGCCUUUGGUCACUUCUCCUCCGGCGACGUCAAGCCUUCCUCAUUACAAAUCGGCCAACGAUAAGUUAAUACUUAUAACAGAAUCGUUUCACUCUCAAUUUGGUGUGCGACUCCUCCAUCGCACUGAUGACUACGAAUGUGACUCUUCCACCACACCUGUGAUUGCGUCCCAUCGCACCUCCCUGGCCGCUACCUUAAUAGGUUUAUCUAUUCAAUUAGAUUUUUCUUUUCAGUUAGAAAUCGAUUUCGGCCCCUCUCCUGCUGUUCAUCUCUUCACUAAAAUUGUUUUUCAUCUAUCCACUAAAAUCUUGACGGUUUCUUUAAUUUCACUCCUAGGGUUAUUUGAUAGCUCUUGUAUGGUUUAUUCCCUAUACUGAAUCGAGAGUCAAAACCAUUGUGGUAGUUGUGGCAGAAUCAAAAUGAGGGAUUGAACCAUUGUAGCAGAGAGCUCUUGAAACUUUUGAUUAAUACUUCUCAAGUCGUCUCGAAGGUAAUGUGAACCUCUUGAUACUUCUCAUGUUGACUCUCUUUCUUUAGUAUAACUAUCGUCUUUUAAAAUUAGGGCUUCUGUUUGAAUCAUUUCAUUGAAUGACAGGUGAAUCAGACCGCCUUCUUAAUUUAUUUGACAUUGAAGAACAGUGCGUUGAAUUUCUUUGUCAUGUCCAAUUUAUCUCGACCAGAUCUCAAGCAGGUUUCGAUCUUCAUCUCUAUUGAUGCUCUAAAUUUUUUUCCAUCAAUGGAAUUGUGGAUUUUUAUAAACCCUAGCUUGUACAUAAACCCUCUUUUAACCGAGCUUGGAAAGAACAGUGCGUUGAAAUCAUUUAUCUAUAUCACCAUGUAUAUGGGUUUUACAUCCUCAAGUUUUGAUCAUUCAUUUGAUAGCUAAGUGUGCUCAUAAGGGCAAAAAAGUUAGCUUAUAGUUCUAUUUCUGCUUUUCUAAUCUUUUAAUCCCAAUAUGUCCUAACUGUUUCUCUACGCCUGUUCAUAUUACUUCUUAAGGUAUAUGCAAUUGCAGAUUCUAGACGGCAAGAAUUUCUUGGCUUUAAAGAGUUUAUUACAACUUCAAUCAUCAACAAGAGUUCUACACUUCCAUUGAUGAUUAUUGGAAAGUAAGUCACUCGCCUAUACACUUCCACCUCUGAUCUCAACUGAGAAUAAAGUUCACCGUACAAUGAAAACGAUUCUAAUCAAACCACUACAUCUAAUACUUUUUUUGUGUAAUUUGUGCAGUUAGAGGUCUACAAUUUGUGCUUUUUGUUUUGUACCAGUGAUGUCUGUUGUGGGUUUUUAAAGCAAUUACGACAGUGGUAUGAACAUGAUUGAUGAAGGUUUGGUGAUGAGUAAUGGCAAGUUAUGCCAUCAUGUUUUAAAAUCAUGUAAGUUUUUUUCUUAAUAAUAUUUUUUGGGACUCAAUUUGAAGGAAAAUUUAAAUGUUAUUUGUUGAUUACCAUAGAACUAUGAAAUUGGAGAGGAAUAGGGCAUGAGAAAUGUUAAGGAACAAAUGCCAACCUUGGAAAUUAUAUCUCUUUCGAUACUUUGUUCUUAUUUUUCUUCUUUACUGAAUGUACAUAUGAUCACCAUGUAUUUGAUGCAAUAUCUGACUCACCCUUUUUGUUAUUUUAUUUUCGAUUUGCUUGUAACUUCCAAUUUCACAACCAACUUUCAUUUUAAUUAACUGGAUGGUUGCCAUUGUUGUUCAUAAUAUUUCUUAUCUCAAUACUUUGGGUUUAUAUUAUUGUAUUGCAAACUGUGUGAUUAGUCAAAAUGUUGUUUCACUAGUCUGGGAUUUAUCAUUUGUUUUCACUUUGCUAAGAUCAUCCAAAUGAUAGGAGGUGUGAAAUUGCUAUUGAUUGUCAAAUUAAAUGUAUACUAUUUUCUAAUUAAUGAGAAUUUAAGUACAAAUUUCUAGACGAUUUAUUUAAUUGCGAUUAAUUACAUCCGUUAUCCAUCAGAUUUGCAUGCCCUUUUGGUUUCAAUCCACCAAAUAACCCUGGUACAUAAUGUUAUAUGGCUUUAUUAGUAUCCAAAUUACGAAAUUUCCCUUCAAGUUGUUGAUACUGAUUCCCUUUUGUUUCUUCAAAUGGCAACUUUAUUAAAGCGCCCUAGGACGCCUCUUACCAAUAAUGUUGAUGUUGAAUAUCAAACAAUUGGACUAUGAACAUGUAUUAAAGAGAACAAGGACAUUUAUAAUAUCUGAGGAAGAAAGAUUCUUUCUCUCGGAAGUAAGCUUCUUUCUCUCAUUCAAUAUUAUAUUUCUUGAUUAUUUAAUUUGCAUUCUCUUUUACCAAACUCGACUCAUUUGACACAUAUAUAUGUGAUGUUAGCAGCUGAAUCAUUCUGCAUGAGAAAGUUCAUGGUCCAAGAUGAUACUCAUCUGAAGAUUUACCUAAAGUUGUGAUGAUGACACCAAACCAGGUUUCGGUAGUCAAAAGCAUCAAUUUCCAUCUAUUAGAUCAAAUUUUGCUUCUUGGUUAGUUUUCAUCUGCUAAAUAAAUAUGGUUGUAUUAUGUUAAGCAUUUAUUAUCUCAAUUUUUUUUUCUAACUCUUUAAAUAAUUACAGCUGAAACAACUACUAGAGAAGUCAUGAUAUGGGAACUAGGUAGUAGCAAGAAGCUUGCUCAUAAAAAUUCAUGGUUUGGGAUUUUCAGGUUUGCAUUCUAAUUCGGAAAACGCCAUUUUUUUCUUUUUGUAUAUUUGGAGUUGAGAUGUUCUAUACCUAAAGUCUUAUAUUAACAAUGAAUACAACCAUUUUUUAUUUUUAUUUUUGAAAAUUUGAUCAUGAAGAAGAACAAUGCUGUCUUGUAAGUGUCAUUUCAUCAAAUUGCAAAAAAUAGCAAUGUACUUGAAAUAUGGAGCUUGAAAAUUAAAAAAGCUUACAACAAGAAUUCGGUAUUUGUCUGGCCUGACUCAAAGCUCUGUACACAAUACAUAAGCACCACAAUGUUAUUUUUUUUAGUUAACAAGCAGCAUGAAUAAGCAGUUUUUACUGUGCUGAACAUUUGUUAAUACUUGUCGUUGGCAUGCCACUUAAUUGAGAAUUUGGAUUCACUUCCCAAACAUGAUCAUACAAAAAAGGUAGCCCCUGCAUUCAUUCUUUUUUUCAGUUUCUUUCCAUCUUUUUCGACCAUUUGUGUCAAUUGUCUUUGUUUCAAAUUUUCAGCUUUAUUUUGGGUUAAUGGCGGUUGUUGGUUGCAUGGUUGUUGCAACUCAGGUGCUCAUCCUAAAGACUUGGAGUAUGUGAAGCGUCCCCUCAAACUUAUUUUCUGACUUGAAUGUUGUUUUUGCUCCCUCACAUUUUAUACUGAUUUUAUUGAUGUUUUUAUUAGUAUGUGAUGUCGUUGAACAAUUCGGACGGAAGGGAACAGAGGAAGAAUAUGACGACGAGGGGGAUUAUGAACAAAAGAUGCAUUCAACUACAAAUAAAAACUCUGUAUAAUUUAUACUUUUGUGUGGUACAUGUUUUGUUUUAACACCAGUCAUGGAUAUGUUAUCUUUCACUUAUAGACUUAAUAUGAUAUCAGGUUUUAUAUAUAGUGACCUUUUGUCAUAAUAAUAUGUUAUGUGAAGACCAUUCAUCUCUGCAUCCUGCAACAUCUCAUGAACCCGAGACCAAUCAGCUUCAACUGGUUCCAGUAACCGAUAAUUCCCAAGAAUUGGCAGUUUCAUGAAUUGAGGGUAAUAAUGACAUUUUAUCAGAAUCCAAGAGACAGUAAGUUAAUGAAAUGUUAUAUGUUUUUUCAGGAAGAGAGAGAAUGAAGGGAUUUCAACCAAGACAAACUGUGAGCGUCGUGCAAUUGUUCACACAACAAGUAUUGUAGACAUGCUUCUCUGUCUACUCUAGCUGUUCGUGAGUACAUGUUUCAACUAAUUUUUGUCUCACACAACCAAAAAAAAGUGCAUUGCCAUCAACACAAUUAAAAUAUUUCAAAGUCUGGAAGGUUUAAAUAUAAUAACCAAUAUUCACAUUUUUCUUUUUCCAUCAACAAAAAACAUGUGUCUUUGUUAUACAUACAAAUUAGGAAGGUAGAUCCGACUUUUGACAUGGAUGAUUAUUUGUUAGUUUUAUAGGAAUGUAUAACCCAUGUUAGCAAUGUAUUAUUUUUGUUUAACAUUUGAAUGAUUCUUUGUGAUUACGAAAUUUUUUUAUAUUAUGCAAUGGAUUGUAUUUUUUCUAUAUGGUAUUUUAUUUCUAUUAUGAGACAUUAAAUGCAAAUUUAAUUUAAAAAUUAAGAAAUAUAGAAAUAUAAUUUUUAAACAUUUAAAUUUACGAUACACAAAAAUGUGUGUCAUCUUCGUUUAUGACAUUGCCUUUCUUGACAGGGGUUUUACUCAUACGGAUUGCGUGUCAUAAAUGCGCGUUGUAAAUGCGCGUCGUCUCUCUUUAUGACAGGGCCUUUCUUGACGCGCAUUUGCGCGUUGUCUGAGCAUUUUACGACGUGCAUUGCGCGUCGUAAAAUGCUGUUUUCUAGUAGUGUAGCUUGCGAUGCCAUAGCCAGCUGACUUCGGAUACUGCUUUGGAUAGGAAGCAUAACUGCGGUUCGCCUAUGAUCAGAGAUACAUCCAUAGGAUACAUAGUACCUUCGGAUCUGGACUUGAUCAGACAAGUGCUUCUAUCGCUUGUCAUUACAUAGCAAAAUUGGUCAUCAAAUUCAACACGAUGUCCUUCUUUACAUAGUUGACCAACACUGAUGAGAUUGUGUUUAGGGCCUUCUACAUAAGCGACCUUUUGAAUAGAGAAGUUUCCCGUAGUAAGAACACCAUAAACUUGGAUUAUCCCAUUCGCAUUAUUCCCGAAUGUGACAUUUCCACCGUUGCAAAUUGUCCUGAAAUCUCAAAGGUAUUCUAACCUUCCUGUCAUGUGCAAGGAGCAGGCACUAUCGAUUAACCAUUCUUCUUCUUGUUCCUCCUUACAUAAGGCAUAAAAAUUACACAGUUUGUUUAGGCAUCCAAACUAGUUUAGAGCCUGGGAUAACAGAUGAGUUUCUGAUUGAUGCAUGAAACGAGGUUGUCGGGACUGGUUUCGUGUCAACUUUUAAUCCUAGUCCUGGGUGUUUGUGAGUUUUUGGCAUGCUGUGCCUUUUUGAAAAGUAACGAGGUUUCUGAAAAGGCUCAGUUACAUUGAUAUUGACAGGCUGAAAAUUUGUCAUUUGUUUUAGCACUUUGUUUGGUCAGCGGUCGGAAGGAUGUGGUAGAUUUGUGAUUGGUCCGAGGUUGGUUAGAUCUGACAUGUGUGUUGUUGGAAUUUGAAAAAGUUUGUUUCAAAGAAGAUUUAGCACGUGUAGAUACCUUGGACCUUUUUCUAGGAUUUAAUAAAACGCCCUUCCAGUUGUUGAAAUUUUGAUGUGAUUUUAAAAGUGUUGGAGUAGGUAAGAUACCAUUCCAUUUUGGAUCAUCUGAGGAAUAGAUUUGAAAACCAUUGCUUUGAAAAUACUCUUCUUUCUUUUGGGUUUUGUCAGAUGAGUUAGGAAUGGAUGUUGAAACUGCACAUUCCUUUUUGCAUGUUUUCUUGAUGGGAGAGUUUUUCAAAAAAUAGUGAGCGAAAACCAACUUUUCUGGAUUCUUAGAUUUGGAAAUCUGAUAUGUCUUUUAUUUUUAGAAAAGGUUUAUCGAUUUGUGCCUUGGGAUCCAUAUUCCUCUUUGAAAGCCUUUUUUUGCUAAGGUUUUUGGAGAACCGCAGUCAUUAGUGUCCAGCUGCGGUUUCCUGGAAACCUUAGAAGAUUUUUGAAAAUGAGUGAUUGACUCAUUUGAACUUGAAGGAUCAUGGUUUUGAGAGCAUUGACCUAUUUCAAAGUUCUCUAUGGGUAAUUCAUUGUGAAUUGGCUGAAGAGUCACGAAGCUUUUUAUUGUGGACUGCGGUAAGGAUGAUUCGACUACCGCAGAGUAGGUCUGAGUUGUGACUUCAAUGGGACUUUUGUGGGACUUCUUGUUGGGUUUUGAGCAUUCUAACACUCCUAAGUGUACAUGCAACCCUAAAUACCUUGGAUCUAUGUUUUCUCUAUUAUACAUGCAAUUAUGAACAUACAAGGUAUUAUCCAAAUCUAGCAUACAAAAUAAUGAAGAUAACAAGAUAGAAUACAUACCUCUUUGAUGUAGAAUGUCUUCAUGAAGCUUGAGUGCCUAGUGCCUCAAGUGUGACACCUCAAAUGGUUCACACAACAUUAAAUGCACUUGGAAUAACUUGAGAGAAACUUGAACACUCCUAAUAUCGGCUAGCCCUUUCUUAUUAUUCAUAGUGGCCGAUUUUUCCCAAAGAAUAUGAUUUUAUAUAGUUGUUACAAUUAGGGUAAACCCUAAUUGUCAUGGCCUUCCAUUUCCUUGGAUCCAUUGGUUCAAAUACACCAUGGAGCAUCCAUGGACCAUCCUAUGGGUUUUAGCCUAACUUGAUUAUCCAUGGAGCAUUAGCCCACUAUACAAGUAUGGAUGAUUUACACAAUCAACCCAUAUAUUUAAUUAGUCUUCUUUUGCUCACUUAAUUAAUUCUAGAUUAAUUCUUGAUCAAUACUAAUUAAAUAAUCCUAUUAAUAUAUUAGAACUUAUAAUAUAUGAAUCAACCUUAACUGUUAUUUCUCUCAUUAUAGUCUAUCCAAGUGCAUGAUGCCAUGCAACCCAAAUGGACCAUGCCGGGUCAAGUCUUACCAAUUAUAGUUAUGGACUUAGACAUUAAUCCAACAGUCUCCCACUUGGAUAAGUCUAAAACUAUUAUUGCAAUUAUGAAUUCAAGAACCGACUGGAAAUCGUAGCUCUCAAAAGCUUCCGUCAAACUCUAACCUUGCCGAUGAACUCUGACCUUUGUCAAUGACUUGUCCAUUAGAUAAGUGAUCAUAUAUUCCUCCAUUCUAGAUAUCAUAUGGACUGAGACAUGGAUUAUCAAUCAUUCUCUCUAUUCAUUUGUUGUUUCCCAAUUUCCGAUUCAUGAUGACUGACUGAUUGAACAAAUCAAAUCAGUCCUUGCUUGGCCAAGCACUCACAUGUAUGAUCAUUAAAUCAUCGAGGGGCCUGUAGACAUCGCUUUUAUCCUGAAGGUAAAAGGAAUGGAUAAACUUCUACUCAUAUGGCUUGUUCUGCUACUUGUUGAAUCAUACACUUAGGCACGUUUUAUAACAUCGAGUUACCAAUGCGCUUUCGUGCAAUCAGUGUACUAUCAACUCAUAGUAACAACUCAUAUCUCUAGGUUUGAAGAAUAUAAGAUAUUAUCCUCUCAUGAUCACUCGUGAUAAAAUCCAUGAAGUGAUUCAAAUGAGCGCGAGUUGAAUCCAAUACUCAGAACUUAUGAGCACUCAUGAGUGUUGUAGCACAACUUUGUCCACCAACAUGGACCUCUAUAAGCCAACCCAUGACAGUCUUGAUUCAUAUCUACUUCCAACAUAUGACCGACUGUGGAUGGUUUGAAUAACUUAGUCAUUUCGGAAGAAUAACCUAGUUAUAAUGGAAGUCUAAACAUGCAAAGUGAAACACAAGAAUAAAUAAAUCUAAUAUGGUCUCAGAACUUAUGAAUAUAAAUAAAACACCUUUUAUUUAUCACCAUAUGAUUGCACAUUAUUCAUUGUAUACUGUUUCAGCUAUACACUUUAUUCUUGAAUUUAAACAAUAGUUGUCCCAUGAUCCAAUCAUGUACACUAUGUUUUCUAAACACUAGUCAUGCCAUUCACCAAGUAUGCAUACUAUGUUUGUCUAUGACCCUUACUUUGUGAAAUAAACCAAUUGACCAAACUUUCAAUGAUUCUAAUUUCACACUCCCGAAUUCUUAUGGCAAAUGCAGGAAUUCCAAAUUCAUGCCAUUUUGCCUAAAUCUGUUAGAUUCUCCACUUAUAUGCAAUGAUUCUCUUGUAAUGAUUAUGGACAAAGUCAUAAAGAUUUGACAACAAACAUUACAGAGCAUUCCAAAGGAGAUCAACUCCUUGGAAAUAUCCUUCUUGCAUUAAGUUUCCUAAUCUUAUACAGACUUAUUUAACAGCUUCCACCAAUGGGAUCAUUUCCACAUUCCCUUUUUGACUAUCACUUCUGAACAAGACUUGCCUCUUUUCAGAAUAUGUCAAUAUAGUCCUUCCAACAAUUAACACUAUACUUCCAACUGUCCCUGAGCAACCAAUAUUUGGUAAACCUUAGAUUGUCCUCGACAAUUGCUUAAUUGUUUUAGUCAUAUCCAGUUCUAGACCUUUUCCCUUCUAAUGCCCCAGGCAUCUGGAAAAUUUUAGACAGGAUCAAUAUAGCACAUGUAAUCAAUCCUAUAUCCGAAACAUAUGGGACACGAUUCAUGAGGUCUCACAUAAAGACUAAACCAGUCUUUUGCUACAAUAUUUUCAUUUCUAUUUGCCAUGUUCUCAUAAUUCAGAUUAUGAAAAGGGAUGCCGUAAUCAUAAUCGAAUUUUAGAACGCAAAUAAUGAACCCAUAUAUAGAAUUUCCUUAUGUUGAGCCAUUCCAACAUGAAAUUCAUAUAUAUUCUUGACUAAAUUUGAUUAAAAUCUCAAUCUAAGCUUUUAGAAUUGAAAUGAAGUAUAAUUUCCUCUCCCUUAAUUAUAUCAAAACAACUUUUUCAACUACUACAGCCUCACGAAUUGAAACUUUUGUUUUCUAUAAUUAACACUUAUACUCCCACUAGCAUUGACAUGUACUCAGAAAUCAACUGGACUUCUAAACAAUUUCAGAACUAUGAAAAGAGAUGUCGUAAUCAUAGUCUCAAUUGUUUAGACCUUUUCUAUUUCUCAUAAGUCCAUGUUAGUGUGCUCUACUAACGACUUUGAGAAUGCAAAGAUUGCUAUCUACUUAAAAUCUACUUAGUGAAAGUGUUUCCUUACCAUCAUUUUCAUGAAUCAAAGAGGAACCUUUUGAAACUUAGAUUUUUCUGGUGUAUAAUUUCCUACCCAUAUGAAUUUGUCAAAACCAUAAUCACAGGACAAGGUUACUGACAUAUCCACACUUAUAUGGAUUAAACUUGAGCAAUCUUAAAGUCUUGCCACCUGGCAGCUCAAGGGUCUGCCAUUACUUCCAAGUUGUUAUGCAACCAAUUGAGAACUCUCAAAACUCCUAUGCAAAGCCAACUUUAACUGGAAUGGGCACAGAAUAUGUCAACACGAUAGGUUGUAAACCUCAAGUCGUGUGCUGGUGAAGAACUUCAGGUUUUAUUCUUGAUUAGUUCUUGAGACUUUCAAGACCUUUUAAUACUCCCACUGUCCUCUUGACAUAUAAUACUAUCUUGUCAGAUAUUCAAGAGAUAGUGCAGAUUCUUUAUCAAGACAAAUACUUCACACAAUUGGCCUAAGUUGGUCUUUGCUUUAUUCAAAACAUCACAACUUACCAAUUUCAAAUGUACAAGAGUAGGACACUUUUACUCUUACAUUUGAAAAGUGCUAUAAACCUUCUUUAAGAUGUGUCACUCAAAUUACAAUCUUGGAGUAUAACUCUAAGAAUUGUUUCUGGAACGAAGUAUGAAUCAUCUUCUUGAUUUGACCACUUCAACAAUUCAUAACUCCUCUUUUUAGCUAUCAGAAUGCACUUAGAGGAUGAAUUGUGAUAUGGUCUUUUAAUCAUUGAGAUGAUCAUAUAUCAUGAUACUACAGUACUCUCCCAUCUUUCCAGAUUUGAGAAAAUUUUAACCUUCUACCUAAAUUGAUUCUUCUUAUUCGCUCUGCCAUACAUUGAAACUUGUUUAAUGUUUCAGAAUUAUACUUGAACUUUUAAGUAUAACCAUAUUUACUAAACUUUAGUAAAUCAUGACGAAUAGUCUUAACGAUCAUUUGUGGUGGGCUUGAUCAGCGCACAAGAGUGUGUACUCGAUCCUUUAGUCCUUUACUUGAUUCACACAUCCAUGUGAACAAGUAAUUAGUCUUAAUUUUCCAAUGCUUGAAAGUUAUCAUUCAUCAUACUUUACAACUUGCAGGAUUCCAAGUUUCUGUCCAACUGAAAACUUGGGUGAUGAGCUGCUUUCCUUAUGUGGUAAAUUUAGACACUACCACAAAUGAAAGAAUCAAAUUCAUAUUUCCAAUAUUGUUAUCAAUGGAAUCAUAUAAGCAACAAUUUUUUUCCUCAAAUGCCAUUGUAAGGAUAUUUUAAAACAAAUAAAAUCAUCAUUUUUCUCCUUUUAUUUUAAAAACAUUGUAGAAAAACUAUCCUUACAAUGCAAAAGAGCAUGAAAACUUUUGUUAUCUAUUCCUAAGCAAUAUAUCAUAACUCCUAAGAAGUAGCUCAAGAAUCCAAUCUUCAAACUAUGCGAUAGAAAUCCAUCUACGCGAUUAGAUUUAGCAUAUUCUUUCUUUAAGUUUCUUCACUUUUCUUUGAUUCUUACAAACAUCAAUAUGUGACCCAGUCACAUCAUGUAUCAAAAAUCUUAGUAUAGAAACUUAGCAGAGUUAGAUAGUGGAUUUUACCUAAAGUAGGUUCAAACUUAUUAACUUUAACAUCCUUAGGUAAAAUUGGUAGCUUUGCAACUAAUGCCCCUUCCUUUGGCAAUAUAAACAUAUGGACCCUUUGGUAAUGGUACCGGUACUAUCAAAGACUUAGCUUUUCACUUUACCAUUUGGUCAACUGAGUUGACUAUGGCCGAUCCCUUUCCAUUGGGAAGAGAAUGCUUUUUCUGGAUUUCCAGUGUCAUCAUUGUCAAUGUCCAUAAAGUUUUAGGAAGUUGAUCUUAGCAAAUAGAUAAGAUCAUUAAGGGUCUUGUCAUAGUCUGUUUCAUAGGUGUCCCAAAGGAACUCACUAUGUGACUUAGAAAGUGAUUGAACCACCAACUUUCUCAAGACUUUGACACCCAACUCUCCCGGCUUGUCAAUAUGUGACUACAUCUCCAAGAUGUGANGACCAUGCCUUGCCAAUAAGGCUUGAGUGACCUUGAACUUGUGGGAUAGGCAGAUUAAUUGGAGGAGGUGGAGGAAGUGAAGUUACAAGAGAUUUGGGAGGAUCAUAGAUGUUUGAACUAGACAUAUUUUGGGAGAUAUUCAAGAUAGUUGAUUAAAAAUCCUUAAUAUAACACCCAAUAUUAGAUAUUAAGACUAGGACCCUACAAACUAUUUUAUAACUCGUAAGAGGGAUGCCGUAAUCCAAGCUAUAAAAUAUUUGAAGGUAGGUGAAUGACGAUUCACCAAUUUCCACCAAGAUAAACAAAAUGUAUUAUUAGGUUUUAAUUGGAUUUGAAACUCCUAGAUCUUUUGAUAUUCAUUGAAAUUUUCAAUGGCAUGUUUCAAUCUCGAGUGUGCCCUUCAUGUUUUGUGACUGGGAUGCCGAGGAUCACAAAACAAGGUGUGAAGUAACCAUGCAAAUAUACUUGGUACCCUUAAGUGUUUACCCCUCAAUCGAUGUGCCGGCUAACCACACACACUCCAUCGAUACUAUGAUAAACAUUAAGUUACCCUUUGCCUACCUUGUUAAAUACAAGUUAGUGUGUCGGUUAACCACACACGCUCCACUAACCGACUUAAACAAAGUACAAAGUGUAAUUUCAUGGAUUAGCACCUUAUUCACAUUUUCCUAAGUAACUAAGAUUGGGUAUUAUUAAGAGUUUAGUUACUUAGUAUUUAUCAUUAAUACUUUUAAUGAAAUGAGAAUUCUAGUCCUUGUUCUACCCAUUCGGCUAACGACCCUCCACCGGUCAAGGAAGCAGUGGGUGAGAGUGGACACCCACUAAAUAGCCAUUUUAUAGGCAGUAACCUUACACCCCCCCCUUAUAGACCGGCUUCGUGAAUGAGGCCUACUAAUGGUAACACUGAAUUUACUCUUAUACAUAUAUGUACUGCUAGAAAAAUAGCCUUUUACGACGCGCAUACAAUGACACGCACUAAUUUACGAUACGCUAAAGUGUGCGUGCUAAAAAUAAUGUCAUCUAUCACAAAAUUUGAAGGAUCAAGGACGUGCAUUUUGGCGUGCCCUUAAAAUUAGUGUCUUAACAAAAAAAAAAUUAAAAACACGAAGGAUGCUUAUCUUAAGCGUGUGUCCUCUACAUAUGUCAUUUUAUAAUUUUACUCAAACACGCGUCUCUUAUAACAAAAUCACAGGGACAGAUAUUGAUAUUAAUUCUAGGGCUUUUUUAAGACUCAAAACACUCACUCACUCAGCGCUCUUUACCAUCGAUCUGGCGACCUCGCCUCACUUCCGGCAAACCCUUGCUCACUUCUCCUCAUCGACGAUCUCAUCGUCACCUGACCACAAAUUCCUUUUGUUCCAUCUUCUGAAAAAAAACCCAAAUACACGCUCACCCCAUUUUUGAUGCUCAAAAACGAAAAAGGGCAAGCACCUAUGUAUUUUAGAAUAUGUAUUUUGGGGAAAUAGGGGUUUCGGUUCUACGUGUUCUUAUAACCCUGGGAAUCAAGAACCCUGUAUUCUCACACCGGAUUCAUAGUUGAAGUCUACCGGAGAGAAAAGUGUACGGAUGAGCCUAAUGGGUUGGGGAAUAGCAGAGGAAGCGCUAGUCCUUCUUCGUAGAAGGCUAUGUGAUCUCAAUUUCAUCUUCUCCCUCUUCUCCGAUUCUCCCGACAAUAACUACAGGUUCGGUUGAUGGUUAUUCGAAUAUUCUAUAUAUCUUCCAAUUAUGUAUACGUGAAUAUCAUAAUCUCUUUUUUUUCUCAUCCUCUAUUGUGGCGUAUUUAAUCUUUGAACAAAUUUCAGCAAGUUGAAAUUUAUCGUAUCAAAUUCGGUAACUAAGGCUGUAACAAUUCGAUACUGCUUCUGGGUCCUCGAGGAUGCGGAAAAAUUGCGGUAUAAUACCCAAUUUCUGUGUUAAUUACUUGGAUUUUUUUAUAGUAUUUACUAUGAUUUCAUUGUGUCAUUGAUUAUGGAAUUAUGUCUCAGAUUACUCUAUAUCUGUUGUGAUAUCAGGCACAAUGGUUGACCUAAAAGAGCAUCUCCUCCCACCAAAACCUACAUCAUCUAUAAACCUUAGUGAUGCAUCAUAACAGCUGAUGAAGUUCUACUUUUGAAUUCUCUUGAUAGUUAUGUGUUACAAUAUGUGGUGGAAUUACAAAGACGAUUGAAAGCUACAGGGGUUGGGGUGGUGUGGCAAUCUGAAGGGGCAAAGUUGAACAGACGAAUGGGAAAUUCAAAUAGAUCCUUAGGGUACAUGUGCAUGGUUUGUAGGGUUUUUAAGACUACCUUCCAUUGAAGAGAGAUUAAAAAGAGGUGAUCUCCUUGAAAGGGGUGUUCUUUCUUCUUCAAAGGUAUUAUUUUUGGUCUUUUUAUAUAUGCCCAUUUACAUGUUCACACAGAUUCUAUCUUUUCAACUUUCAUCAAUAGAUUAUGCAUAUACAGUAUAGAGGUCUUUCACUCUCUUCUUGUAGUUAUAGAUUCCUGAUUUCUAAAACAAAAGAAGUUAUUUCAUCAUUUUAUCUGCAAGAAGUACAUAAGAAUAUUCCAUAGAACAACAUGGCGGAGCUUAUUUCUCGAUCACCUUCAUCAGGUUGUCCAUACUACAAGAGAUCUAGAGAGAAAUCGAUAGAGAGAGAGAGAGAGUGUGUGUGUGUAUGUAAAAAUUAAUGAAAAGAAAACUAUCUGCAGUGUGCAAUUUCUUGUGUUGUUUAUUACAAGUUUAAGAGAUAUAAAGUUGAUUAAUUUGCAAUAAAAUGAUCUGUUCGUGGUUGGAAAACAAAAUAAAUUGCAAACUUUGAUUCAUUCUUUGCAUUCACUCUUUGUUGCUUUGUAGUUGCACUUGAAAUUUUUUUUCUUUCCUACGAGUGAGUAGUUCAGGAAGAUAUUCAAGACCUUUUUUUCAUUUAAUUAACCUUGAUCUUCGUUUAAAUGACUUAGAAAUUCAGGGAUGAUGACCAAUUAUAUUGGGGUAUUCAUAACCUUUUGUUUGGUAACACUUCACCUGAGAGUUUAGGGCUCUAGAAGUUGCUCUUGAGGCUGUUUGUACAUUUCUGUUGGUGGUGAUGCAACUGGUAACAGAAGUGGAGCUUCAUGAGCUCUUGUGAAGUAUAGGUUUGUCUUUUCAACUAUCUGUUAUAUCUUUAAAAAAGAGUUAAAAAAUUGGUUGAUAUAUAAAUUGAAAUGUGCUGGUUUAACUUUAGGUUGAAGAUCUUCAAUGGUCAGUUUGAAAAGCUUCAUCAAAGACAAUCUCAAUGGACCGUUCUUGACACAGAGCUUAAAGUUAGAGAAUCUAUCAGACUGGCACUUGUUGAAGUCUUGUUACCUGUAUACAGAUCUUUCAUUAAAUGUUUUGGGUACAUAUUUUUUGUGUGAUCUAUCUCAAUUCUCAGGCUCAAAUAAAUGAAAAAAAAAAGUAAACAAAUAUUUUGUUUUUUGUUUUUUACAAUUACAGGGCACUUGUUGAGAAUGGGAAAAAUCCCAAUAAGUACAUAAGGUAUUCAGCAGAGGAUAUUGAUCGGAUGCUUUGUGAAUUUUUCAAGGGUAAGACUUUGAACAAAGCAAGACGAUAGAGAUAACAACAUGUUGAAUUACUCUUUUACCCUUGUGGUAUGUUAGUGUAUCAUGUAGCCUAAAAGGGCAUGGCAUGUAUGUUCUUUUUGUAUGUAUUGGGGUAAUAAGGAUAUGGGUAUGCUAAAAAGUUAAAGAAAAAAAAAUGCUGAAACUUUGAUUAAUUUAUUUUUCUUGGUUGGUGUUGUUAGUUAGUAUGUUACCAGCUGGUAAUUAUUCAUGAAAGGUCUAUACUUUAUAACAAAUAACAUGAAAUACAUGUUUUGGAGCUUGAAUUCCAAGGUGUCAACAAUUCUUUUUUUCUUUUUUUCUUAGUAUCAGUUGCACUAUUUUUUUUAGUAUCAGUUGCACUAUUUUUCUACACUCAAUUGAUUAUAUAUUCCAUAUUUCUGUACUCCUAUUCUACAAUUUCUUCAAUUUCCUAUACCACAAUUCCAGUGUCACCACUUUUGUUCCAGUUCUGCUUCACGAGCACUUGUAAAGGAUAGGUUUGUAUUUUUAACUAGAACAAGGGUAUUUUUGUAAUUUUCUUGUCUACUAAUGCUCUUUUUUUAUUUCUGGUCCUCUCAUAGAGGAGGAUGCUAUUGUAGAUAUAAUGGGACGACAUUAUCAAUUCGUAUCUUCAAUUCAGUCUCGUCUAAAGCAAUGGAUGAUGCAUUUGUGGUUCUAGAAACUGCAUCAACACCUGUCACAUCACCCCCAAGUGUUUUUAUUGAUCCACUGGAAACAGUUCACAAGAUGAAUAAAUCUGGGAGCACUAAUGCUGGAGUAAGUAGGGGUGUGUCUGAUUUUGAUUACAUUGACCCCCUUCAUGGAUUUGGUAAGCCUGCAACAUUAACCAUCCAACAUUUGGUGACAUCACUCAAAACCGGCUUAGAAGCAACACAAGAAGCUGCAUUGGACGCGCUAUUUCUUCUGAGUUGCAUGCCCUACUGAUGUCUCCAAAUCCAGUCGAGCCCACCUCAGUUUCAAGAAAACGCGGGAAUAAUAUGAAACAUAUCCAUUAGAUAAGUUUGAGACUUUUGCCAUGGGUGGAAGUGGAACACAAGAUAAUGGUGUGGACCAUGUUAAUGGUGAAGAGAUGGAUUCAAACUCAGUUGAUGCUGCAAUGAUAGAUGCCAUAGAAUGGAAUCUAUGAACCAAGCAUGUCCUUUUUGCUGUUAAGAAUCUUAUAUAUAUAUAUAUAUAUGUANNNNNNNNNNNNNNNNNNNNNNNNNNNNNNNNNUAUAUAUAUUUACAAAUAAAGAGUUUGAAGUUUGAGAUUCACAUCACAUAAUGAUGAGAUUUUCUUUUCUUUGGGGCAGGGAGCUUCUCUUGGACUUCUAUACAAGUUCAGCCAAGCGUAAGCCAGACCAGAUUAUCAUCUUCAGGUCAAUUAUUUUCUUUGACUUCUGGUCAUUUUAAUAUAUUAUGCUGUCAUUUUCUUUAAACUAAGAACAAAAGCCCAUACCUUUCUUUCUUUGUGUACAUUGGAAACAUCAAGAUUCCUUGUAAUAAUUUAGAAUUUUAUUUGUAAUAGGGACGGUGUGAGCGAGUCGCAGUUCAACCAGGUGUUGAACAUUGAACUAGACCAAAUUAUCGAGGUAUUUGUAUUUCUUAUAAUAGUUACUUAUUUUAUUAAGUAAAUCUGAUUUAAAUGGUAAUUAUGGUGUGGUAGGCCUGCAAAUUCCUUGAUGAGAAGUGGAACCCAAAGUUUCUUGUGAUAAUUACACAGAAGAAUCACCACACCAAGUUUUUCUAGCAAGGAUCUCCAGACAAUGUCCAGUCUGGUAAUAUGUUACUACUCAAUAAAAUACUUCAGAUUUAGAAAUGAGAUGGUUUAAAAGUGGAAUUAUUAUUAUUAUAACAGGAACUGUGAUCGAUAACAAGGUCUGUCAUCCUCGCAAUAAUUACUUCUACAUGUGCGCAAAGGAAGUAAGGGAAAGAGAACUUGCAAAAGCUUCUAUAAACAAUCAAUAUGUAACUGUAAAACUACAAAGAGACGAUCUACAUGGGUUGUAGAACUUCCUCUUGCAGAAGUACCAGAUUGCUUCUUUCAAUUGAGUAUGCAUCUUGAAGCUGUCAGCAAUGAACAUUUCAAUAUGUGUUGUGUUGACUUGAAGAAAACAAAAGACGAACAACAAAUGACAACCCUAAUUUCAGAGGUUAGGGUAAGAUCUCAACUACCCUCUUUCAUCCCAUCCUAACUUUUACUACUAUAUAUGGUUAAUAGACACAAUUACCUCCUAGACUCAGUCAACUUAUAUUUACUUAAAAUAUCAGUAAACUUAAGGAUCAUNUACACCCUAUAAACAACUGAAGUAACGCUUCCUUCUUUCCUACUUGCAACUAGUUUUCCAAAAAAAAAAUCUAUAAAAGUAUAUUCAGAUAGAUACUCCUUUUACAUUAGACAUCUCACCAUGCUUCUUGAUCCUUCAUUUACUGUAUUCUGUACACACCCUUUAGCCAAGAUUCUGAUUUGUAUCAUGAGAGCGUAUCAAAGUGUAAGAUUCAAUUCCCAAAAAGAUAGGUUUUUUGCUUAAAUCUUCGUAUCUCCACUUAAAUCUUCUUUGAGAAAGUUCCGAUUUCCAAAAAGAUAGGUUUUUGCUUCCUAUCAAAUUCCAGGAAAUCGCUUUUAUUAUUAUAAAUCAGGUUUUCCCUUUUGCUAUUCUAAUGAAAUAAAAACUUUGAAGGUCUGAUGUGCGUUUGGAUAAUCAACAAAUUCUCCAGGGGAUGCCUAUCACCAUGUUGUGCGUAGUGUGAAGAAUGAAAGAUCAACACACAUUCAAGAGAUAUUUCUUUCAGUUUGGGCCUUAGUAUGCAAAUGUUGGGUAUUUAUAGUUUGAUACACUCUUGUUGCUUAUGUUUCUGUAGGGUUCAAAUGUAAAGCGUUCACGUAACUUAAGAGGUGACUUAUUGUCUGUACGUAAUACAAGUGUGCACUGAUGAAGAAACUACUAAUUUCCCCUUCACAUUUUAAUUUGUGUAUGAUUGAGGUACACCCCUUAUCAUUUUUUUUAUGCCCGAACAUAUCUCUAGUUUAUCUGCAUUAUCCCCCUCCUACUGUAUAUAUGGGCAAUAUGCAUGGCAUAGACCGUUUAAGUUUAGCAACGGAAAUACCAUUAAUGCCUUUGCCUCUCUUCUCCUCUCCUUCAACCACAAGACUCGAUUCAAGAAGGCCACAAUCCUCUUCUGAUCAAAAUGGUGGUCCAGUGGCAGUGAAUGAGUGGAUAGCAAACGAAGGAGUAGGAGUAGGACAGCCUGUCCCUAUGAUUGGUCGAAUACAAUCUCAAUUGUCUACAUCACUUACUGCCACAGCUGUUGCUGAGUUGCCUUGCCUCUCUCAAGCCUGAACGAUGUUGCUUAACAAUACCCCAUGCUGUCCGUUGCAGGUAUCCUUUUUAUUUAUUUAUUUUUAAAUUAAAAAAGAAAAAUAAGGAGCUUGGUGGGGGUUGAUGUUUGUAUUAUUGUAUACUGUUGCAGUGACAUGGGUGCUCAUUUUUCAACAUGUGGGAGAUAUCAUGUCAAGAGCUACUUGCAGAAAUAUAGGCUGGCAAAGUACCUCUCCGAUUCCUCUUUUGAAGGUAUUCUGUAAUUCAAAAUACUGAAAUCUAAAUUUGAAGAGAUGUAUAUAUAUAUAUAUAUAUNAUUUAGCCCAAAAAAACAAAUGUGGUGACUGCUGAUUGAUUAUUUUGGUGAAAUUGGUAAUGCAAGGAAAAGUGUUUGACCAGAAAGAAUCGGGUGACAUGCUUUCCAGCUUGGAUUGAUCAUCGUAAGUCUUGUUUGUUGUGUAUUGCCUGAUGGAACGAAAUUAUUGAGAAUUCUUGAAGGAUCGUUGAUAUACAUUUCUUAUAACCCAUUUUUUUAUAAUGAUAAAAGUAUAUAGUUAAAUGAUUUAAUAAAAUUAGAAAUUUAUUUUGUGAAAUAUGUUUGUGCAGUGUAAUGCAUAUUACAGAAGCACUGAAGCUGCAGAUGGAGGUGCAAAAGCGACUGCAUGAGCUAUUAGAGGUCUUCUUUUGCCUAAAAUAAAAUGCUAUAGGUUUUUCAAAGUAAAGUAAAGUAGCUUACAUAUAUGAUGAAAGUGCAUAGGUCCAAAGACAGCUUCAAUUACGAAUAGAAGCCCAAGGGAAGUACCUAAAGAAGAUCAUUGAAGAGCAACAGAAGGUGAGUUAAGCCGACCCCUUGGUCGGGAAUCCAAAAACCAAACCGACCCUAUCACUCCACCUCCUCCAUCCAUCAUCAAAAAUAAGAAGUUGAUGCUUUGCUAAAUUCAGGUGGUACCAUACGUGACAGAUAUGCCCUUCUUUGGAAUCAACAAAUGGAAAGGUAAUAAAACAAUAAAUAAUAAUCCAUGUUUUUUAUUUCUUGAUUGGUUCUACAACAAGUGUCUACAAGAAUCUUGUGAAAUAUCUAGUGGGAGUGCCACAGGUGUAUCAAUAUUUAUAUAUUUUUUUCAUUAUAUAUUUCCUAGACCUUUGGAAUCAUGUCUUCUUUUUCUUGGAUGCUGCAUAAUGCAAGCACCAAUCUCUUUCUCUCUUUCUCUCUCUCACACACACACACACACUUUAUCUGUAAACUUAUGUCUAUGUAUUGCAGGAUUGGGCCAAUGAACUCUGAAAUCAAGCAAAAAUAGGUUGUAAAGCAUAGAAAGCAUGCAAGAUUAACUAAAAAAGCACGCCCCGAAGACUCCAUGUCAAUGGUUGCUGAAAGCCUUCAAAAUAAUGAACAUGUUCACUUGUUAUCCCCAGUUGAUGUAUAUGAUUCUCUUUCGGUAUGCAUCAUCUCAUAACAAAUUUAGAGCUGUUUUACUUUGAACAUUAGAUAGAUUUUUAUUGUUGUACAUUGCAGGUGAACAGGUCUGGAAGGCUUCAGAAUAAUGCAACACAAUACUUGGUUGAUAUCGAGUUAUCUAUCUUAGUUAGUUUCUUAACUUUUGUAAUUAUAAGUAACUAAUUAAUCAUUUCUUAGUUUAUUAGGUCAGAUUACAUUAAAUUCAACUGACAUGUCAACAUGUCACCAACUUUUAGGUCUUGUCCCUUGAUGAAGAUCAAUUGCAACAAAUAUUGUAUCUGUAUGAUUAUCUAUGCACUUGUCAGCUAAGAGAGAAGUAAGUGGAAUGUUGUCUCAUCAGUGUUAUCCUUUUUUAAUUACACUUUCAGAUUGUGAGGCACAUUGGUCUUUUAAUGUUUUUAGAUAUGGACGAUAUCGCCCUUGGGGGAUACCUAUAUCAUAAAGACCUUUAGGAUGGCAGAUGCAAUGGUGGCAUUAUGCUCAAAACUUUGUGUUAUCUGAUGUUCGUAGAAGAAUGAAGAAAACUUCAUGGAAAUAAUUAGGAGAACGUCUGUAAGUUGUUCUUUCUUCAAGAUUAACAUAUAUGAUCUACCAUGUUAUCCUAUUUGUUGUGUGCAUUUUCAUCAUGGAAUGCUUGAAAUCUUAAACCUUUUAAAAUCUUUUACUUGUAUAGAGGCAGAAAAAGACGAUAUGUUAAGUUGUACAAGUUGAAACUGGAAUGUCUACGAAAAGAGCAGGUGAGGUCAUCAGUCAUUACACAUAUAGUUUUCAUGAUUUAAACAUUAUAUGGUGUAUAUGAUUCAAACAUUAUUUGGUGUAUAUGAAUUAUGAUCAGCCUCUGGAUGAUGAAAUUGUUUUGGAGUUGGACCAAAUAGAGAAAGUAUCCGAUAUAGAAGAUAUCUUGGGUUACAGGUCUGCUGCUGAACAUGAGCUUCAGGUAUGAUUAUGAUCAUUGUUGUUAAUAUCUAUUGCAUGUGCUUUUUACUUAUACAUUUUAUUAAAGACUAUCAACAUGUAGGAGUUCUUGGUGGAUUCAUAGUGUCUAAUUGUUCAAAUUUUAUACUUCUACAAUUACAGACAAUGGUCUGAUUUUUUUUCUAGUAGUAUGUGUGCACGAAUUAAAUAGGUUUGUAAUUUUUUUUAAAGUAGAAUGCAGUUAUUUGUAUUUGUUGUCAUCGAUUUUUAUCUUUUUGACGCAAUGCAGCAUGUUGCUGCUGAAGGCACAACCUUCGUCAAACAGGCAGAAGAUGUUGCAAGUAAUAAGAAGGCAGAAAAGAGAUUGCAGGUUGAUCCUACUAUAUGGCCAAUAAUGAUCUUUAGGGUCUGCUAGAAAGAUUGGAGACUGCAGUUAAGCUUCUAUCUAAGACUUCACGCUAAGGACUUGAUGAAUUUAAGAUAUCAUAAUUUUGGCAUGGCUAGAAGCUUUGGAGGAAACGAGACGCAAGCAAAAGUAAACACACGGAGAGUUGUUGGCACAUAUUAAGCUAGAUACUGCAAUUGUAUAUAAAUAAGUUCAUUUUUUAUAACAUUUACUCACUAUUGGAAUAAUUAUUUGUAUUUGACAUAUUAGUGAAAUGAAUUAUCUUUGUUAUUUAUGGUAUUUUAUUUUGUAUUAUGAGAUUUUUAAUGUAUUAUUUAAUUUGAAAAUUAGAAAAUCUAUAAAUAAUAUUUUUUUAAACAUUUAAAAUUAUGAUACGCAAAAAUGUGUGACAUCUUCAUUUAUGACAUGGCCUUUCUUGACAGGGGCUUUCUUGAUACGCAUUGCGUGUCAUUAACAUGCACGUCGUAAGAUUACGACACGCGAAUGUGUGUCGUCUUCCUUUAUGACAGGGCCUUCCUUGAUACGCAUUGCAUGUCGUAAACGCGCGUCGUAAUUGCGCAUCGUAAAUGAGCGUCGUAAAUGCGCGUCGUCUCUCUUUAUGACAGGGCCUUCCUUGACGCGCAUUUGCGCGUCGUCUGAGCCUUUUAUGACGCGCAAUGAGCGUCGUAACAUGCUGUUUUUCUAGUAUAUAAAUAUUAUUAAUUUAUAUUAUUAUAAAGUAUAAGGGUUGAAUUUGAACUUUUAAAAUUCUAAGGGCUAACUUGGAAUUAAAGUAUUCAUAAGUGAAAACUUUUCAAAUUCCAAAACUUGAGGGCAUGUUUUGAAACUAUUCAAAACUAAUUAAUUCCAUAACUUAUGUGUUUAAAGUAGUUUUAAAUAAAAAACUCUUCAAGUUCCAUAACUUGAGGACAAGUUAUGGAAGACUUUAAACUAAUAAAAGAACUAACUUUUUCUUUAUUUUAUAACUUAUGGAUUUAAUUAUGGUUACAUAUUUUUCUUUAAUGAAGUGACUCUUGAACUUCCAUAACUUGAGGACAAGUUAUGGAGUCAUAAAAAAUUAUUCAAUGACACAAGACUCUUCAUUUUGUAACCAUUGCCAACUCUUAUGAAUUUUAUGAGUCUUUAAUGUGACUCUUCAUGUAACUUGAGGACAAGUUACACAAACACAUUUUAUACUCAACUCUUAGAUUAAAAUGGAUUGAAAACAACUAUUUCAAUUAACUUUUCUAUUAAUCUAAGCAACUCAUAAGAACAAGAUAAUUCAAAUCAAACUUUUUCAUGUAAUUAGUCUAAACCUUAAACUAAUACAAAACAUGAAUCUAUUGACAAUUAUCUUUGAAAAUGGAUUAGCAUGAACAUUACCACAUCAAAAACAAGUUUAUAAGUUCAAAAACAACUUAGGGUAAUGUUCCUAGUCCAUUUCUAGCCAAAAAACUCGAAAAUAUGCUGUCUGGGGGUCCAACUCGUCGAGUGCAUGAACAAACUCGGCGAGUUGGA